rnacentral:lncRNA from 1 species
CCGGACCUUAGGCCCCUGAAAUUGAGAAUCAGUUCAAAAACACUUAAAAUCAUGCCUAAACAUGUCCAUAUCAUUUUCAUAUGUUCCAAAACAUAAAAAUCUAAUUUAAAACACAUUUUAACUCAUAAUUCGAAGCAUAAACAUCCAAGUCAAAUAAUGGAAUAAAACUUGGAUAAUUACAUUAAAACAACUUAAAUUUUCAAAUCAAAAUUUACAAAUACCACAAUCAAAUUAGGUCCUUAUGUACAUGCAAAAUCCUUAUACAAUAACACUAAUAUAAAUAUGUUACAACCUCAAGUGAGUUGUGACAUGAAGCUCCCAAGCUCGGACCUUAUGCUUUUCACUCGUAUUUUACCUACGUGUUUUAAACCAUUAACGCGUGAGCUUUAAAAAGCUUAGUAAGUACUCAAAGAUAAGUCGACUUAUCCUAUCCUAAUAUAAAUGUUGAGUCUCUUAUCAAGAACUAUUCAAGAUUCAUUUCCAUUAUAUUAUGCCAUUUUUCAACUAAUUCAAAUUUGAUUAUCGAAUUAUGGAACUCAACAUACUGGUCAAUGGUUCUUUAACAAUUCACAAUAGAAAUUCAUGUUGAAGAUCAUCAUCAAGGUUAUUGAUAUUUUCCAUUCUAAGUCCAUAGCCCUUUUCACUUAACUUUCUAACUUAUUCACGGGUGAGUACCACAUAUGGCUAUGAGAAGUGGGAAAACUCACAUGGGAAUAAUUUAGAAAGUUAAGUUUAUAAAAAGAAAAAUUUAUAAGUCCAAAAACCAAAUAAAUUUAGGAAAAACGUAAGCAGAAUAAUUUAUAAGUCCGAAGUCCAUCAUAUGUCCGCAUGCCAUGUUCGAUCCUAGUCUCAAGCAUUACUUGAGAUGGUUGAAACUAUGGGGUGAGCUAACUAGCAUAAACAUAAUAUUAUUCAUAUAUCAUUCAUCAUUAAUAACAUUGUAACACAAACAUAGCAUAAACAUUACCAUUCAAAAGUGUCAUGGACAAAACAUAAUACAUAAUGAUUUCCUACCCCAACCAUCCGCUACACACCACAAGUUCCCCAGAACUCAUCUGCCAAACUCCAUACAUUGCGAGUUGAGCUCAAUGUGGUUAAACCACCAUUAUAUGUAAUGAAGAUAUACUGCCAUUCAAAAUAAAUAUGAUAUAAUCGUUGUUCUCCUCAUUACUCCCAGUGCAGUGCACUGACAACAUAUAUGCGGACUUAAUAUGCCUCCAUUACUUCACGGAACUCCUCCUUCAUCCACAUAAUCCCAUCCUAUGCACAUGUAAUAUGUCAUACAAAUUUCAAUUAAAAUCAUGUUUCCAUUACAUUCCCAUUUCAAUAGCAUGUUUUGCAUGCUCAUAACAACAUUCACUUUCAUUCGAUAAUAACAUUUAUCAAUCAUUUAGUUUCACCAUCAAUACAGUGACAUUCCAACAUGUCAUAGUUUCAUUAUCAUUCAUAAGAAAUUUUCCAGUGCAUGUGUAGCAGUCUUUCAUAUAUUUCACAACAUUUUACCCAAACAUACAUUUCAUUUUUAUUCUAAUACGUGCUACUCAUACAACCAGCGUACAUUAUAUCACAAAAUAAUUCAUAUUAAUUCAUAUCAAUACCAGACAUUCAAACAUUCAAUCAGUCAUGCAACAUUGCAAACAUGCCAUUUAUCUAAGGUUCGAAACGUACCUGAUUCAGCCACAUUAAAAUCACUUACUUAGCCAUUUAACUAAGUUUGACCAACAAGCUUAAUCAUCAUUUUAAGUAUUAAAAAGAUUAUUUAACAUUUAAAUUUUAUAGGUUGGAACCCACACCUUAUUUUUGUACAACUGUAGCACUACUUACCAAACUUGCGAUUCCUCCUUUAGACUUAAAUUGAACCUAAAUUAAAAUACAAUAUUUAUCGAGUUAAAAUGUUUCCAAAUCAGCCCUAAAGCACCCUCUUAAAGGUUCAAUCAAAUUAGCAUUACCGUAAUAAUUUUUUGUCUAAAUCGACUAGGCUACUUACACUGAUUUGAUGCGAAACAUACGUACGAAUGAGUUUUGUAGUCAUUGAUGAUCCGAGAAGUUUAAAUCAGCAUAUAAACAUAAUUAAUCCCCAAAAAUCAGUAACCAAAACCCCUGUUCAGAUUUUAAAGCAAUCGACCAAAGAAGAAAUUAGUAAUAAAGAAAAACAGUGCAAGAUCUCGCACAAGUUUGCACUUUGCACCACCCAUUACCCUGAUCUGAGUUGUCGGAUGAACAUCUUUCUGAAUUAUCAAUUAGGAACGUUUAAAUCAGAACCAAAUAGAGGGAAAAAUCUAAAAAAUUAAAAUAGUAGGGGCGAAAAUUGAAGAGAAACGACAAUCCCAAAACAAUGGUACUCUAAGGGCGUGGCAACACCAUUUGAGGUGACAAAAAAGGCAAAUCUGGGGUGCUACAAGGAGGGAUCUUUGGACAACCAAAAAGAAAAAUUUUAAGGGCUAGAAUGAUUGACUUAUUGGAUAUAAAAAUAGUAGCCAAAAAUCGGAUCACAAAGUAUAAGAACAGAGAAAAAAAAAUAGGAUUUACUAGCAUUGAUAUGAACAAGGGAGAGGGAGUGGCAAUGGACAGUAAAAGAGGAUGUUAGGAGAGAAAAAAAAGAAAUUUUAGGGCAGAAAAUAAGGAUGGUUUAGGAGGUCUAAAUGUUCAAUAAGGUGACUGGACAAACCAAAAUAGAAAAACUCUAACAACAGGGCAACACAACUGUGAUGAAAUCCCAAAAAAAGGACGAAACUUUGAGAGAAAAAAAAUAAGAGACGAGAGGAGAACUGCUAGGGUAGGAGAAAAAAAUAGACUUAAGGCUGAAAAGUAAGUGAAAAAGUGAUAUUUAUACUUAGGUUAAAAGGCAUGAGUAGCAUAAAAACAGGGGGAAGGAGAAAAAUUAGCAAAAUUAAGCUAUUUUGCAAGGGAAGGUUGUUGAACUCGAGUUUUUAAGUGAAUUGCACUGGCUGUAGCGGUUUAAUUUCAGUAAAAUUGAAAUAGUAGUUUUGUAACCACAAAUGCUAAAAAGAAAAUUUUAUUUUAAUAUUAUGAUAUGAUAUAUAUUAUGAUAGGAAUGUUGCAGGAAAAUUUCGAUCAGAAAAUUCUAUUGAUUAUGUGGUUAAUUAGAAAAAAGACUAAAAAAAGUGCAUUCUCGGGACUCCGUUCCGGUAAGUCAGAUUUAUAAAUAUUUUUAAUAAAUAUUUACGAAUUUAGUUGUGCAGUUAAUUAGGUUUUAGUUAAGUGAAUUUUCUGUAAUUAAAAAUAAUUAGGUAAAAGGAUUAACUUGCAAUAGAGGUAAAAAGUUUAAUUAUAGAUUAAAGAAAAGCUAAAGGGACUGAAUAGAAAAUUAUGCCAUUAUUAUAGUUGAGGCGAUUUAAUAAGGAAAAAUAUGAGAUUUUUAGUUAAAAUAUAUAUUAAUAUAUUAACUUAAUAUUUAAGUAUUAAUAUUAUAAUAUAAUAUAUUAUUAUAUUAUAUAUCAAAAACAUAAAGUAAAAGAAACAAAUGAAAAAAAAAGGAAAGAAACAGAAUAGGUAGGACGAAACAAGGGAGAAAAAGGGAGAAAGAAAAAGAAAGGAAAAAAAAUUAGAGAUUUUUAAGGUUUAAACUCAAAUUGGUAAAUCAAUUUAACUCAUUUUCUUAUAAUUUUUGAGUUUUUAUGAUCUUAGAAUAAAAUACUGUUUAGUAUAUGUUGAAAAUUUGAAAGUUAAUAGAUUUUUGGACAUGGUUUAUGUUGAAUUAAUUGAUGAAUUAGGGGUUGAAUUAAUAGAAUUUCAAGUUAGAAUUGGGUAAAGGAUAAGAUUGCAUGGAUUUCUUUUUUUUCAAGCCUAGGGACGAAAUUAGAAUUAAUGAAAAGUUUAGUGGCAAAAUGGUAAUUUUUCCUAAAGUGUAGAUUGAACUCAAUAGAAUAUAAAUUGAAUGAAAUUGAUGAUUAAAUUUAUUUAUAUAGAUCCGGAUGACUUAAAUACGAGGUUAGAUCGAGGCAAGGAAAAAAGUCUCGGAUUAGUAGUCUUUACUAACAAACAAAUAUCGAGGUAAGUUCGUGUAACUUGAAUUGAAUUCUUUAAUGCUUGAAUUGCAUGUUUAUGUGACAUGAAUGUGAUUUGAAUGUUUAAUGUAUGGUAAAUGAUGAAAUGAUUGAACAUAUUUGAUAAAAAAGAAAAAUAAUUCCGGUGAAUAAAAGGAAUUCGAUGGAUCACAGAAAAAGGAUGUUACAUGGGAAAAUAAAAGGAUUUGGCCCGGAAGGGUAAUCUAAAUCGAGCUUAAUAGAGUAUUUGUCACUAAAAGGAUUUAGCCUGGACUGGUAAUCCUGAAAAAUACUGGUAAUCCUGAAAAAUACUCUUUGAGCAUAUGUUACAGGGAAUUUAGUCUGGAUCGGUAAUUCCGCUGUGUGGAAUGAGACUCGGGAGUGUGCUCCCUGAAAAGGAUAAAUAUGAAUUGACGGAAUUGAACUUGUACACCAUAAGUGUACUACUAGAAAUCCAUUGAAAUUCUGAUAAAUUCAACGGGAAAAAUAUAGAAAAUGGAAAAUACGUGAAAUCAUAAAAUUGAUGAGCUCAUCAUUCAUCUAUGUAUUGAAAUUAUUUGAUGUUAUUUGACUAAUCCAUUGGUUGAGUUUGUAUGUGUUAGGCAAGUAUUCUAUUGUUAUGGACAUGUACAUGUUUGAUUUAAUUUUCAUGGAAGUAUAUGGUAAGUUAGUUCUUGUUACAUGAACUUACUAAGUACUAAGUGCUUACCCUGUUUCAUUUUUCCCUGUUUUAUAGUGUUUGGAAGCUCGAGAGGUCGGAAAUAGGUCGGAGCCAUAUCACACUAUCAACCAUCACAUUUUGGUAUAUAAAAAUGUUAUACUAAUGUUAAUGUUGAAGUCUAUGGUUGUAAACCUUGCUAUUGGCAUAGCUAGUGUGAACUUGGUUUUGAAAUGUUAAUAAGUCGAAUUAUGAUUAUGCAUAAACACAUAUUGAUGAGUGUUUAAAAUGGUUUGAAACAAUAUUGAAAUUGCUUGGUUGGUAUUGGAACAAUUUGGUUUAGGUACUGGAUGAAAACGGGUAAGAAACGAGGCUUGGAUAUAGCUUUGUUUUUGUCUACACAGGUAGACAGGAUGUGUGUCCAGGCUGUUUGUGACACACGGUCUGCUACAUAGGCGUGAGACCUUUAAUAAUGAAAUUUUUUGGGGAUUUUACGAAAAGUUCCCUAUCAUCCUGAUGUAGUCCCGAAUCGUUUCUAAUACAUUUUUUUUGGACCUUGAGGGCCCAUCUAAGGGAUGUUAUGAUGAAUUUCAGGAUUUAAAUAGUAUUUGACUAAUUUAGUUGUAAAUAUUCCGUAAACUCCGGUAAUGCCUCGUAACCCUGUUCUGACGACAGAUACCGGUUGGGGGUGUUAUAUUGGCUCCUUGUUUUCUAUUAAACACUAGGCCAAUUACUCAUUAUUGAAAUAAUUUUACCAAAUUUAAAUAAAAAAAUUGGGAUGUUACAUGUUUGAAGUAAAAUUUGCAAAAUAAUAAAAAUAGUGUAAGGGAAGGAAUUUGAACUUGGAUUUCAAGAACAAUUUCAGCAACAUUUAACCAAUAGGCCAGUAACUCAUUUUCCCCCCCAGAAACACAGAUAAUCUCAGAAAUUUGGACAUGACCUCUCUCUCACUCUCGGUUCACAAAGCAAAUUCCACUAACCCUCGAUUUUUGGGAUGUGACAUUGCCCCCUCAAAAAAUAAAAAAUUUGAUUUAAUCCUUUAAAAUUGAUAAAGAUAUAGAUUAUUAAAAUUGUGAAAUUGCAUUUUUACUAUUGUAAAAAUAUACAAUUUAAUUCUGCCCCCCCCAAAAAUUUUUUUUUGGCUCCGCCACUGGUUAUGAGACAUUAAGUAAAUCUUAUCAUCCCUUGUUUGUUUCUCUAUUAGGGGCAUAUAAAGACAUAGAUUUUAAUCACAGUUUCAUGUUUUAUAGCUCAUAGUUAACCUUAUUAUAUAAAUAUAGUCUUUUAACUUAUUAUUUCUCUAACAUAUCCCACUUUAGAGUACAUUUUGAAAUUUAUAGUCAUAAACACAUCUUGUUAUCAAUAUUUUGGUUCAAAUAGCCCAUAGUAAACAUUAGGGAAAUGAACUGAAUACAUGAUACUCCCUCCAAAACACACCAAGGAGCACAUAGUGUUAGGUACCAAAUCACAUCCCUCUCAAACACAUUAAAAGGCACUAAAGUGCCAAGACACCAAACACACCAAAGAGCACCAAAGUGCUAAGCUAAAAAGCAACAAAGAAUGCACGUAAUGUGUGCAAUGCUCGAAGGCAACUUAACUCCCAGUACAAGACUUCGGAUAUAGGACUCUAGGUAUACAUAAAUCCCCAUUAGCAUGCCAAUCCCUAUCUUUCUUUUUCUUUUUGAUCCAAAUCCAUUUUUCCUUCCUAUAAUGGAAUGACUUUCAUUCAUGUUUAUUAUUAUUAUUAUUAUUAUCCAAGAUGAUGACAUCAUCACCAUUGUCUCUAUUCUCCUUGUUUUGAAGACUACCAUUAGCAGGUUUACUCACUUUUAUUGUUGAAUCUAGCAAAAAAAAAAAACAUAGAUUCUGCUAGCCAUAAGCUUAAAUCCAUUCAAUCUAUACAUCUCCCUUCAUGCAUUGGUCAUUGAUGAUAAUCUAACAAAACAAAAAUUUUAUCCACUUUUGUUCCUCUUUUGCGAGAUAAAUAAAUCAACAACUCUACCAUGGUAUUAGAACACCAAUCAUAGUCUUUUGUAGUGAAGCCUUAGUGGAAGAUUUUUGAUAAACAAAGUCACAGAAUAUGAUUUCAUUCUUAUUAGAUAAUGUUCAAUUUUUGCAUCAUAGCUUUCUCUCGACUCUUUUUUCCUAUUAGAAAGUUUCUUUAAAACAAAUCACAUCAAACCUUUCUAAAUCUCUUAAGGUAUGUAAGUUUCCAAUGAGAGUCUUCCAUUUUGUAGUCAAUCACAUUUGAUUCAAAAACGUUGCCUUAAAUCAAUUUUUUUAUGGUUAAGCCAAUUAUAUGAUAUUAUCAAAAGUGCCAAGAUUCGAAAAUAUAGAGGUAGUAUCAAUAUUAUCUUUAUAAUAGCCAGUUUAGAAACCCAUAUCUUAAAGGGUAAUUACCUUAUCCAACCUACAAGAAUAUAAAAAAAUAUGUGAAAAUGAAUGGGAAAAGUCCCAAGAGCACACUAGGUAACAAUUUUUUUCGAGAAAAGAAAAAGAAUAAAAAUUUAAGGGAAAAUGAAAAACCCUAAUGUAAUAACCUGAUAUUCUGCAAUGUCAGAAACAAUAGUUCGGGGACCACAAUUCUGAUGAUAGAGUAAUAAUAUUUACGAGUUCAUCGCAUUCAAACAUAUAUAUAUGUUUCAUUAUUCAUAUAUAACUUAACAUAUAUAUAUGUAUGAAUCUUUUGCGAGGUGAAUUUAAUUUUUAAACCUAUGCAUUUACUAAGCAUAUUUAAUAUUUAUCUCGUUUAAUUUCCUCUUCCCGAUAGAGAUUUUAACGAAACUCGAUAGGCAAGUCGGUCCACAACUCACACUAUCUGGUUCCUAUUUCGGUAAAAUUAUUUGAACUCUACACUGGGUCAAGUGAUAUGUAUAUAAGGACUAUUUGGUGAAAUUGUAUGUGAAUGAAUUGUGAUGUUUUGAACGUUGAGUGUGUGUAUAUAUAUAUAUGUACUCUUUUGUGAUACUUGUUCAAUGUUGGUGUAGACUAUUAGUGCGUUUGAAAUGGAAAUAAUUGCAUGUGUUAAAUAUGCUAACUUAUUUUGAAUAAUUGGUGGACUUGCAAAUGCAAACUAUUUGGACGAAUAAUAAUAAAGUAAUAGGAACACAUGGCGGAUAGACUUUGGGCGGACAUUUUUCUGACGGACCAUCUUGGCAUUUUUUGUUUAAAAUUUUUCGUAUAGAUUUGUAAAAUACCAGAAACUAAUAAUGUUGUUUAAAACUUGAUCAGCCUCAUUUAUGUUAUAACAUCUACUAUAUACGCUUGUGAUCUAAAUAGAAUAGAUUUCUUUGUUGGUUUUGUAUGUGAAUGUCCCUGUUCUACUGUAGCAUCUUGUAACUCAAGUUAUCAAUUGGAUCGGGUGAGGAUUUUUACAUCUAAAGAGAAAAGGAAGCUUGGAGAUUAAAUGUUGGGUCCUCUAAUUAAAAAGAAUAAGAUAUUAAAUUGUCUUAUUUGAAUUACAAAAUAAAUAUUUUGUUAGAUCGCAAGAAUCGGGAGUAGUUGAUUAAUGAGAAAACAUAAAUACAUUUCUCAAGAUUCUUCUUGAUAGAUUAGGUAAAUUUAUUGGGUUUUAUUCUAUCACGUAUAAGAUAUAAUGCUUAAGCUUCUUUUAUUGGAUUUAAGAUACGGUAGGUAAAGAACUUAAAUUGUAAAUUAUGAAUAUAGAAGAAUGAUAUGAAAAUUUUUGUAUUAUCCGUAUAUAUGGAUUUAAAAAAUAUAUAUAUGAAUUAUUAUAUUUUUAGAAACGUCCUAAGCCUACUUUGUCAUGAAAUAAACAUAAGCGAAUCUUGAGUUUUGUAAGUAAAGAUAGAAAAUAACAAGAAAGGUAAAUUGGUAGAAUUAUUGGAUCUUAUAUAAAACUUGUUAGGAUUUGAGCCAUUAAGGAUAUUUUAUUUUUAGUAAACAUUGUGUAACAGUAGCACUAAAGGUAGUUUCAAUAUUUUACUAAACAAUUUUUAAGUCUAAUUUCUAUAUCCAUCAUGAUUUCAAGUAUUUUAAACUCAAAAUGUGACUAAUUUAAUACAUAUUACGCAAGUUGGUAAGACUGUUAUCUAAAAUAUUUGGAGUUACUUCCAAGUAUAUGGUUAGUUUAUUUUUCUUAUAUGGUUCUGGAUAGGACUUUACCAAUCCUGGGGAUGAGCUAAGUUAUUAGAAUAAGGAGCUCAAGUAAGUGACUUGAUAUCACCCUUAAAAUCAACCUAAUCUUGUACAUAUAGGAUUAAGUACACUUUUUUUUUUGUUUUUUUUUUGCUCAGCCACUAGGAUUUAUUAAGAUGAGCUACCAAAACAAUAGAAAACAUACAAAGGUGCAGGACGAGAAAAGCACCAAACUUACAUAAAUAUAAAAAUAGAUAGCCAAAAUCUAUAAUAAGGAUGUAACGACCCAACCUUAGUUCGUGUUGAAAAUUAUGGUUCGGAAUCAAAUUCAGUGAACCGAGUUUGUGGUUUAUAAUAGGAGGAUUUAUGAAGUUUGGUAUGGAAGUAUAUUAAAGAAUGAUUAAGUAAUUAAAUAUGGAAAAACAUUAAUUAAAGUUCAGGAAUUAAAUUGUAAAAUUUCAAUCACUAUUGAAUUUUAAAUUAGAAAAUGAUUGAGGACUCAAUUAGCAAUUAAUUAAAGGGCCUAAUGGUUAUUUAACCAUUAUUAAUGCAUGAGUUUGUCGGUGAGACCAAAUCAAGUCUUCCAUUUCUAUUUAACUAAUUUAAGUUGGAUUAUAAUUAUUAAACAUUGGUUAAUCAAGUUAAUUAAGUCUAAUUAUAUUAUUAAUCAAAGUAUAAAUAAAAAUAGUUAGUGGAAGAUGAAAACAUUCAUCGUUUUCGACUUAGCUGUGCUGUCCCAAGUUAGGAAGAAAGAAAAAUUCCCAAGUUUUCAUCUCCAUUUUUUGUCCCAACUAAAUAAGGUAAACUUGUAUUUUGUUUGGAAUUUUAUGAAUUUUGAAGCAUGAGACCUUGAUUUAGCUAACCCAUGUAUCAAUUUCUUUAAUUGUUAGAUGUUUAGCAAGUUACCAUUAAAGUAUAAUUGAUGAAUUUAAGUUUGGAUUUGAAGAGAUUUUUAGUUAGUAAACUUGAAUUAUGUUAAGGAUUUAGAAAUUAAGUUAAGCUUUAUAGAUAAUUUUAUGAUAUUAGGAACUAAAUUGAAUAAAUCGAAAAUUAUUAAGAAAUUAUGCUAUAUAUAUUAAAAGUACAAGGUCCCUAAUGAAAAGAUAUGAAUUAAUAUUUUGAUUCGAUGUUAAAUAUCGAAAAAUAUGAGUAUUUUAGAUAUAAAGAUUAAAAUGAAUAAAAUGCAAAAUAUGUUUGAUUAUAUGUUUUUCAUGAGAUUGAGUGGAAACUAAUACCAUUUUAUAAUUGAAUUGUCGAAUGUAACUAAAGACGACAUCAGAUUGUCUCAAGAGAAAAGAAGGACGAGAGCCGGAGACAAGUAGCUAAUACGAUUUGUACUUUAAUGAUUUAAAUUCAAUAUGUAUAUAGAUGCCUUGUUACAAACUAGCUUAAUUAAGGUAAGAAUCUUACUUGGCUCAUGCUUUAGUAUGUAUAUGAUGAUAUGAAAUGGUAUGGAUCAAACUUAGCUUGAUGCAAUUUAUUAUGUAUGAAAUUAUGAUUUAUGGGUCAUAUAUAUACUUGAAAACAUUGGUUACCCUAUUAACUGUCUCGGACGGAGUCGAGUAUAGUUGGUGUGCCAUAAGAUUAUUGUACGGGUUUUAUUUUGGUUUAUACCGAUGAGGCGCAAAAUGCAUAUUAUACUUCGGAUGUUCUAAUAAGGUGCAGAGCGCACAUUACUUCAGUUUAUAUCGAUGAGGCGUGGAGUGCAAUUUAUACUUCGGGCAUAUCGAUAAGGCAUUGGUUUUCAGAUAUAUUGGUGUAAUGGUUGGAUGAUUCGUGUAUCUGUCUUGAGUUCGUGUCCGGUUAAUAGGGAUUAUGAAGCAUAUACCAUUCUAUUUGACAUUUGAUAUGAAAUACCAAUAUUGAAUGAUGUAUAUUGUAUGUUAUUGUUAAAGUAAUAAAAGAUGACAUGUGAAAGAUCAUGCAAACUGGUUAAAGCAAGCUCUCAAGGCUGAUAUGAAUAUAAAACAAAUAUAUAGAUUUGAGAUAAAAAGGAGAAAAGAAUGGAAUUAAAGUAUGACAUACCAUAUAUGUAAUUGAGAUAUGAUUGUCGAAACCAUUUUUUAAAGGGAUGUUUGAAAAAUAGGGAUCGACUUUUGAAAAACGAAAACGGGAGUCGCCACCAACCUUUUUAGGUGUGAUUAGAUCACCUUAUAAAACGUUUUGAUCUACGAAAAUUAAGAAAACAGGUUCGGGAGUCGGUUACGUACGAGGAAGGAUUAGUACCCUCGCAACGCCCAAAAUUGAUACCAAAUUGAAUAGUUUUCUGUCUUAAUGUCAAAAUUUUGAAAGGAUUUAAAAGUAUGAUCCCUUUUUUAAAACCGGAAUUAUUUAAGUUGAAAAAUCGAGAUUCCUUAGCUCCGAAAAAAUACAAACAUCACAUCUAGCAUGAUAGGACACGAUAUUCUUAAACUCUCGUAACUGAAAUCAUCUCGUGAUUUACAAAAUCUAUUUAGAAGGAUACUUUAGGCAUUUAGACAAACGGGAAAUCGCAACCCAGCAUGUUAGGGCACUAUUUCCCGAAUUCCUAAAUACGAAAAACAUUGCCUCAUUUUAGAAAAACUUUUGGAUAAAAUAUGACAAUUAAAUGAAAUAUAUUUUUUUAAAAAUAAUGAUUUGAGUAAAAUUUAAAAAAUAAUUUACUAAGAGUAAUACUAAAAAAAUUAUUAAAAAAAUGAAAGAGUUUGAUACGAUACUAAAAUUAUUAAAAAAAUAAAAUAUAAAAAAAUCAGGGAAACAUGGAUUAAAUCAAAAUAAAAAGGGUUGAAAAACGAAGAUGAACAAAGAAUAAAAUAAGAACAAACCGUAGAAAAUAAGAACGUAAGAGGGAGAGAAAUUUGAGUGAAAGCUCUAAAAAAAUUUUAUUGUUUCCCAAAACUCCAGUGUGUUUACAAUGAAGGGAGAGACCUCUAUUUAUAGUUGAACCUCCUCAAAUCCAACAGUACAGAUCAAUUACAUCAACGAUUAAGAUUAAAAUGUAUCUACAAAUUAAAUCUCUAAGAUUAAAAAAUCAUAUAUUCUAAGAUUGCAAUCAUAUCUAAGAUUGUAUCAUAUCUAAGAUUGCAUAUGAUAUCUAAGAUUGCAUAUCAUUGAAGAUUAUAUUUCCAUAUGAGUCAAGCUUGUAAAUGGACCUUAAAUCUAUUCAAGUAAUGGGCCAUUCCGAUCGAGCCAAAUUAUAUUUGUAAUUCUGGACUGAACUUGGACUUUUUUUUUUAAGUUUAUUAUUUUUGUUUUUGGACUUAUUUCUGGGCCCGGGAAAAAUUGAGUGUCUACAGCUGCCCCUCUUUGCUCAUUGCUGUGUAACAGGAAUAGAGCAAAGACUAUAAAAGGACCAAUUUUGCCUCGGCUCGCCGAGUCUUGAGUUCUUGAUCCUUGAUCUUCUUUAAAUGGCCUCUUGACGGCUUUAAUUUGCUUCACUGCAACUCAGGAAGGUGAUAUCUGCUAUCUUUGAUAUGCUCCCCAUCUAAUUACAGAGACGCCAAAGCUGUUAUCUUCGAUCUGCUCCCCGUCUAAUACAGAGACGCCAAAUCUUCUUAUUCAAUCUGCUCCCCGUCUAAUACAGAGAUGCCAAAUCUGUUAUCUCCGAUUUUCUCCCCGUCUAAUAUAAAGAUGCCAAAUCUGUCAUCUUGGAUCUACUUCGAUGUAAACACAUGAAGGUCAGAUCUGCUAUGUCUUCGAUCUGCUCCCCGUCUAAUACAGAGAUGCCAAAUCAUCUUGGAUCUGCUUCAAUGAAGGUCCAAUCUGUUAUGUCUUCGAUCUGCUCCCCGUCUAAUACAGAGAUGCCAAAUCAUCUUGGAUCUGCUUCAAUGAAGGUCAGAUCUGCUGUGUCUUCGAUCUGCUCCCUAUCUAAUACAGAGAUGCCAAAUCAUCUUGGAUCUGCUUCAAUGAAGGUCAGAUCUGCUAUGUCUUCAAUUUGCUCUCCGUCAAAUAUGGAGAUGCCAAAUCUGUUUCUUCGAUUUGUUCUCUGAUAGUACAGAGAUGCCAAAUCAUCUUAGAUCUGCUUCAGCGUAAACACGUGAAAGCCAAAUCUGCUAUGUCUUCGAUUUGCUCCUUGUCUAUGCAAGGAUGCCAAAUCAUCUUGGAUCUACUUCGAUGUGAAGACAUCCGAAGGUUAGAUCUGCUAUGUCUUCGAUCUGCUCUCCGUCGAAUAUGGAGAUGCCAAAUCUGUUUCUUCGAUUUGUUCUCUGACAAUACAGAGAUGUUAAAUCAUCUUGGAUCUGCUUCAGCGUAAACACCUGAAGGUCAAAUCUGCUAUGCUUUAGCCUGUUACCCUAUUGUUUAGGGGGUUAAGGCGCAUCAAUCUUCAUUGUCCCUUGAAGGACAUAACUUAUAUAAUGUGUAUGAGUUCAUGCCUAAUGAUUAGGAUGCUAUGAUCGAAGUGAGUCAAAUGCUCCUAAUUAAACCUGUUAUAAUGCAAAAUGUUUAUGAAUAUGACCCCUAUUCCAGACGUCACCACUCAUUCUUUCGUCAAAUUUUAUCCUUAUUUCUCUCGAAGUAUCAUUCCUACUCAGCUUGUGGGUUUGUACCAUUCUUCAAACGCUAUGACCCACCAAAAAUGUCUGUAAGAUGAUCCUCUCUUAGGAUCGAAUCAUUUGAUUUGUCCAAUCAUCAUUUUAGACUAAAGAAAGAAUUUCCUCGAGUUCUUUCAAACCUUACUUACGUGAAUUCUUCGAACAAUUAUUCUGUUUUAGUUUCUUGUAUUAUCUAAAAAUUUCCAGAGUAAUGAGCAAAACUUCAUUUGUGAAAAUUAUUUAGUUCAUCUAUCAUUAUUUUAAUGCAACAUACUUUAAGAAUAAUAGAAGAUGAAUUUAAUCUUGAGAAUAAUUAGAUUUAAAUAAAUUUGUCAAAAAUACAAACGAAAUUAAUCUGAAAGCCUAUCUUUGAGAAGAAAAAGAAACUAAAGAUAGCAAACAGGACAAAAGUUAGAUGCCCUAGAUAUCGCCACUUGAGCGUUUAUAUGCCAACUCCAUGAAGACUUUCUUGAAUCAACAUGUGUUUAAAAGAUCCAAAGUACUUUGUUGAUGCCCCGAUAUGCAACGCGCUUCACUCUUCGUUGAAUCAGAUAUAGCAAGAUUAUCGUGCGCUCUUCAAAAUUUGAGCUGCCUUUUCAGGUUUUCAACUCAAAACCCCUUUGGUCACAAGGGGCCCUUUGCGGGUUUUCACCUUGGCCUCUCUAUUUUUUUUCGAAAACUCAAGGCGCCCUUUGCAAGUUUUCACCCUGAAUUCUUCUCUCCUUUAGACAAAGUACUUUUUGACUGAGUCUGAAUUCACUGGAUUGGGCAAACUCUUCCCAUCCAUUUCCGUUAAGAUCAAUGCACCCCCAGAGAAGGCCUUCUUCACGACAUACGACCCUUCUCAAUUUGGCAUCCAUUUUCCUCUAAAGUCCUUCUAAAUAGGGAAGAUCUUUUUCAGCACAAGAUCCCCCUUAUGGAAUUCUCUUGGUCGCACUUUCUUGUCGUAAGCUCGCAUCAUUCGCUUCUGAUACAUCUGACCAUGACGAAUGGCCUUUAGCCUCUUUUCCUCAAUCAAGUUCAACUGAUCAUAUCGCGAUUGUAUCCAUUCAGCUUCAUUCAACUUUAUCUCUAACAAGACUCGAAUGAUACUCAUCAAAAAGUACCGGCUCUUGGAUAAUCUUCGUUGGCAAUUAAAUCAAGUCAUGUAUUCCUUCAUGGACUACCGGCUUUCUCUCAUCAUGCCUUUGUUGGCUUAAAUCUCUGGCAAUUACAUCAUGUAUUCCUCCAUAGACUACCAGCUUUCUCUCGUCGUGUUUACUUGGACUAUAUUCAGGCAACCGCACUAUUAUCUACUUUAUCAAGAAAUUCGUUUCCUUAUGACAAACUAUUCUAUUUAGGAAUCGAAUUUUGAAUCAACACCUUCUUUUCUUUGAUGUAAUGUAAUGCAAAUGCAUGAAUGCAAAAAAGGUAUCGAUAUCGAUUCAGUUUCAUUUUAGAAAACGUUAUUUAAGGAACAAAAGUCUUUUCAUAAAAUGGAUUACAAAUACGCUUUCGCUCAUAGGCCCAGAGUCUUAACCCUAUCUAAUAACAAAUCUAACUCUUGACCUCUAUCUGAACUGUCCCGCUUUAUAUUACUUUAGGACGAGUAACGGUGCAUAGCCAACGACUCCCCAAAUCCCAGGAAGAGGUACCCAAUCAAAACUGUUGCAGCGAUAAAGGACUUCAUUAGGAGUCAUCCAAGGUGCUUUCCACAAAACCUCCUCCUCUCGAAGAUUCUGAAGAAUAUCCAUCCACCUUUCUUCUGUAAAAUCGUCUCUCCUUGGUGUAGUUUCUGCUUCUUUUAAGGGGGAAUAACCCUCAAAGAACACUCGGCAAGGAACCUUCUCAAGCUUUCAAAAGUGACUAUGGAACCAUACUAACAACAACUGUGCACAUCCAAUGAAUCUACUUCACUGGCUCUCCAACAUGUACUUCAAGGAUCUAAACGUCUCAGCUAGGAUUACUAGCACCGGUGUGUUCUGUUUAUCAAUAUGAUCAAACAAAUCUGUGACUGUCUCAUCUAUGUGCCCUAUCGCCUUCGGGAAAAUCACCAAGCCGUAAAUACUUAAGGCCAAAACGUUGACCUUCUUCGUCACAUCUGGGUGUGUCAAUAUCAGAUCCCUCAAAAUGGCCCACGGAAUGCACUUACUAUCUCCCUUUUGCUGCACUCGAGCUGCAGCGCACUGCUCACUCAUCCCUGUGAUCAUCACUAAUUCCCUCACGAAAAUUGGGAGACUAGUAGGCCUAACAUAAGCUUUGUUACCUUGAAUUCUCGAACAGCAAAGCAAGGUUGUAUACUUCUCCAAAGUAGGCACUACAUCUACCUCUCCAAAUGUAAAGCAACUAUAAGCAGGGUUCCAGAACUGUACCAUAGCUCGAAACAGAUGCUUAUCUACCUUAAUGUCUAGCAAAUAAGAAAGAUCUCCAUAAGUAUGAAAGAAAAGCUAUCUAGCCCCGUCAUCUCAUUGGGCCCAAAUGUCCUUCAUCUCUUGAAAAUAUUCUGUGUCGAACUGAUACGAGUAAAGUCCCACAACUCUGAUGUAUAUCCCUCGGUGACACUAUCUCCUUUCUCUAACUGGGUUUUCUCUGACCACGCACAAACGGAAGAGUUGUCCUCCAUUUUAAGAUAUUCGUUCCUUUUUACAAAACUUCAAAACUUAGAAAUCGAACCUUGAAUCGACACCUUUUAAUGAUGAAUGAUAUGCGAUGAUGACAAAAUAAAAAACAAGUCGGUAUCAUAUAAAAAGAUGUAAUAAACAAGCACUUAUAAAGGUAGGUAUUAAAGGUCAUCACCAUACUACCUAGAGCAAGCACUUAAAGUUCACUAUAUGUAGUUCAGUUCUAAAGUAAGGGUACCUAAACAGUAGAUUCCUCGAUCCUCACCCAUUAUAGGCUCAUAUGGACCAAGUUCGGUUUAGAAGGAUACAUUUCCCUAUGACCAUGCGGAGAUGAAAAUCUCACGAAAACAUAGGUACAAAUAUAUCCCGGAAGUAAUCCACUAACUCAUGCGGAGGUGAAAACCUCACGAAAGCUUAGCUUCUCACUCCUACUUAAGGGUGUGACCACAACGAUCAUGCAAAUGCAAUGUACAGCAAUAAUGUAACAAACAUAUGCAGCAAACACAUGUAAAAAGGAUCCAAUUUUAAAUUUAAAAAACUUCUGACAUUAAGACAGAAAAUACUCAAUUUCUUGGCUUAACUCUCUUAAAUCCCCAGUGGAGUCGCCAAGCUGUCGAAACCAUUUUUUUAAAGGGAUGUUUGAAAAAUGGGGAUCGACUUUUGAAAAACAAAAACGGGAGUCGCCACCAACCUUUUUAGGUGUGAUUGGAUCACUUUAUAAAACGUUUUGGUCUACGAAAAUUAAGAAAACAGGUUCGGGAGUCGGUUACGUACGAGGAAGGAUUAGCAUCCUCGCAACGCCCAAAAUUGGUACCAAAUUGAAUAGUUUUCUGUCUUAGUGUCAAAAUUUUGAAAGAAUUUAAAAAUAGGAUCCUUUUUUUUAAAAUCAAAAUUAUUUAAGUUGAAAAAUCGAGAUUCCUUAGCUCCGAAAGAAUACAAACAUCACAUCCAGUAUGAUAGGACACGAUAUUCUUAAACUCUCGUAACUGAAAUCAUCUCGUGAUUUACAAAAUCUAUUUAGAAGGAUACUUUAGGCAUUUAGACAAACGGGAAAUCGCAACCCAGCAUGUUAGGGCACUAUUUCCCGAAUUCCUAAAUACGAAAAACAUUGCCUCAUUUUAGAAAAACUUUUGGAUAAAAUAUGACAAUUAAAUGAAAUAUAUUUUUUUAAAAUAAUGAUUUGAGUAAAAUUUAAAAAAUAAUUUACUAAGAGUAAUACUAAAAAAAUAUUAAAAAAAUGAAAGAGUUUGAUAUGAUACUAAAAUUAUUAAAAAAAUAAAAUAUAAAAAAAUCAGGGAAACAUUGAUUAAAUCAAAAUAAAAAGGGUUGAAAAACGAAGAUGAACAAAGAAUAAAAUAAGAACAAACCGUAGAAAAUAAGAACGUAAGAGGGAGAGAAAUUUGAGUGAAAGCUCUAAAAAAAAUUUAUUGUUUCCCAAAACUCCAGUGUGUUUACAAUGAAGGGAGAGGCCUCUAUUUAUAGUUGAACCUCCUCAAAUCCAACAGUACAGAUCAAUUACAUCAACGGUUAAGAUUAAAAGGUAUCUACAAAUUAAAUCUCUAAGAUUACAAAAUCAUAUCUUUUAAGAAUGCAUAUCAUAUCUAAGAUUGCAAUCAUAUCUAAGAUUGUAUCAUAUCUAAGAUUGCAUAUCAUAUCUAAGAUUGCAUAUCAUUGAAGAUUAUAUUUCCAUAUGAGUCAAGCUUGUAGAUGGACCUUAAAUCUUUUCAAGUAAUUGGCCAUUCUGAUCGGGCCAAAUUAUAUUUGUAAUUCUGGACUGAACUUGGACUUCGUUUUUUUUUUGGGUUUAUUAUUUUUGUUUUUGGACUUAUUUCUGGGCCCGGGCAAAAUUGAGUGUCUACAAUGAUGAUAAAAGAAAUUAAGUGUUAAUGUAUGAAAUUUCAAAUGGAAUUUUAUAUCGGUUAUGCACUUGAGACAUGAAAUGUGAAAUGAUUUAAUUGAUAGAUGAAUCAUAUAUUGAUUGUAUUAUAUCUUGUUUCUAUUGAUUAUUUAUUUAAAUUAUGAAAGUACCACUGAACCCUAUUGCUCAAAGUACGGUUUGUUUAUUUUAGUGCGUAGAUAUCGUUAAAUCUCGAAGUCUUGAGGAGUAAAACAGAGUCCAAAACUCACUUUCGACUCAACAAAGUUCAUGUAAGUUUUAUUUUAUUUUAUGAAAAUUGACAUGUACCUAAGGUCAUAAAUUGAUAUUAAGGUCUAUUUUGGAUGUUUUGGUGCAAAUGGUAAGAAUGUUACAUUUUGUAAAUGACAAUAUAUUUACUAAAUAGCAUGGUCAUGAUCAAAGUUAGUAAAACAAGGGUGUAUAUGCUCAUUUAGUAUAUGUAUGAUGUAUGAGAUUCAAUUGGAUGGAAAUAUAAAUAUGAUCAUUUGUUUUAAGAUGAGUUGAGUUAGAUUUUGGGUCAUUUAGACCAUUUGAGUGGUGUGAUUUGUAGGUUUGAGUUGAAAGAUGCAACUUGAGGAACAUUGAAGAUCUCGACACUCCCUUUUAGUAUUGCGAUAUUGAGCUUCUGUCUUCAUAGUCAUGGCUCUCCCUUGUUGAAGUUACAAUAUUGAGUUACCCCUACCUUCAAGGUCGCGAUGUUUCCUUAUUGAAGUCACGAUGUUGGGAUUCUGUUUUCAAGGUCAUGACACAUUCUAUAUGAUGUCGCAACAUCAGACUUCUGCAUUGGGGGUCACGACAUUAAUCAUCAGUGUUGCGACAGCACACCCUGUUUUGAUUAUUUUACAUUUAAACCCCUCAUUCAUCAUCAAAUUAAUAUGAGAGCUUUCAUAAGUUCGUUUAUAACCCUUAUUUAUUUAAAUAAUGCAUUUAAAUUAGUUUGAAAUAUAAUGGCUUGUUUAUUCAAUAUGUGAAUGAAAUUGUAGUUUCCCUAGUAACGAAUGUGAUAUCUCGUUAUCUCGAAUCUGACGAGCAAGUCAGGUAUAGGGUGUUACAAAGGGAACUAUAAAAACAAACAACCAGACCAAGGAACAUGCCAAAGAGACAAAUUCACCUAAAUAUAAUCCAUUAGCCACCCCCGAGCUAGCAUACUUGGAGUAAAGAAUUUCGACCAGUGUCACCGUUGACGAGGGCAUCCACAAGAUUGUUCGCUUCUCUGAAGACAUUAUCAAACGCCACACAGUUUAGCUUUAAACAGAUGGCAUCAAUAGUUUUAUAUUGGUCGACCCAGAAUUUCUGAGGUCGAUUAGUGUGAUUAAACCACCAUGAAAUAACCGUUCGAGAGUUCAAUUCCACAAUCAAACUGAACAAAUUUCUCCACCGAGAACAAGCAUAAAUUUGCAAUGCCAUCACAAUGGCCUUGAGUUCAGGCUCAUUAGAGUCCAUAAUACCAAGAGAUCUUGAGAAUAACAUCAAUAUUUUCCCGAAGUGAUCCCUCAACGCUCCACCGAAGCCAGCCAAACCUAGUUUUCGUCGAGCAGCGCUGUUGACAUUGAAUUUUGCUGCUCCAAAGGACGAAGCUGACCAUUUGAUACCCACUCUAGAACCCUGCCUGGAGCUGGAAGGCAAACAUAACCGAGGGGUAGUCCCACCAUUGCGCUUCCAAUAAAUCCACCUCAUCUUUCCUUACCUUCACCCGAUAAAAAGAUUUUAAUUUAAUAAGGAAAAAGAUCUCAUCCAAACUCAGCUGCAUUAUGUACGCAAAUUAUAUGAUUUGAUAUGAAUUUAGAAUGUGAUUUCAUUUCGAGAUUUGAUCUUUGGAUAUAUUUUUAUAUUCAAUUAAUUGUUUAUACAUAACUAUGAUUUAUUAUGUAAGAUGUUUUGAUGUGUUUUGUAAAAUUUAUUACUGCUUAAUCUAAAUCUUCUAAUAUGAAUAUGCACUUUGUCGACAAGGUUUAAACGUUGAUUAUGUCAACAUCUACUUUGUGAUAUAAAUAUUGAUUGACAAUUGUUUUGGUUAUAUUCUGUACAACCAUUAAGGUUUUUUUUUAUAUACUUCUAACUCAUUGCCAUUGGAGUUCCCGCUAAAGUUAACUUUAGUUUUCCACCUAUGUCAUUGGCGUUAAACCUUUGAUUUCGAGUUAGCAUAUUCUUAUAGUCCUUUAAACAUCAGUAAUAUGUUAAUUAGAAAAAUUAUUAUACUUUUCAUCAAGAUGUAAUACAAAAUUUAUGAAUUUUAGCGUUUGAUAUUUUAUGUUUCAGUUUAAUACAUAUAUCACUUUAUAUGUUUGUAGGAUUCGUGUUACGAGUAUGUGGUGUUGUUAUGUUGGAAUUACACCGAUUGGUAGGCACUUAUUGUGUGUUUGAAGAUAUGGAGGUGCAUCAGAAGGUGACGAAACCUUGAGGACUUAUGGGACUUUUUGGAUAUAGAUCACUUGCUUAUACCCUCAGCUACCCUCAGCAAAAGAUUUCGUAAGAUUCGAUAACACUAGUAGAGAAAGAAUGAUUUCGCUGAGAAGUGAUAUACUGACAUUUUCCAUACCUCGACUGUAUUAAUUAACGAAAUAAUUAGUCAACAAAAAAAAUUAACGAAAUGGUUUUAAAAUGCUUAAGUACUGUAAUUUAUUUAUUUUUGGUAAGCACGUUUCACAUACUUUAAUACAUGACUUCUAGUAGUUUCAACGAAGUUUAUUUUUAACACGAAAAUGUGGUUAGGAUUUUUGCAGAAUUUCUAAUUCCCAGAUAUUGCUCUUGGGGGAGAAUUAAUUUAUAGUGUACACAUGAAUAAUUUGACUAAAUUAUCAUUAAACAAAAAUAAAAGUUUUGGUUAUAUAUGGUCUUGUUUUCUUCAAUCUAUGUAGCAGUUUUGGCAUUGGGGUUGAAGUUAAGACAAAAGACAGCCAUGGUCAGCUCCCAUGCUGUUGUCUGUUUCAACAUCUGUUACUCGUUAUUACCGUUGAAAGUCAGCGAAGGAAGCCCAUAAAUCUUGUUCAAAUGUUCAAGUUUCAACGAUUAGACCAUAUCUACAUAUAUAUAGAAUUCAUUCCUAUUAAAACCCAAUUCACUUUGGUGCUCUUAGAUUAAACUUAAACAAGCCAUGGCAGGCAUUCAAGUUUCAAGCAGCCUGUUGUUGUCAAAAAGUUUGCCUUCCUUGCGCUAUCGUCGUGAAAUAGUUGGUGCGAGAGUUAACGCACCAAGGGUCCACCUUGGUGUAGUCUCUCACCCGAAGCUCUCUAGCAGAUAUUUAGUUGACGAAAUGGAAACGAGAACCGGUUAUCCUAUUGCUAGACAUGACACCAAAUCAUCUGAUGAUCCUCAGGUGAUUGCCAAGCUUUAUGCGAUCAUGGAGGCUAUUGCAGAUAGAGUGGAGAUGCAUAAGAACAUUGGAGAGCAGCGUGAUAAUUGGAAUGGCCUCCUUUUGACUUCCAUCAACGCCAUGACCCUCAGUGGUGCCACCAUGGCCGGGCUAGCCGCUUUAGCUGCUGAAGGGUCACCUUUGAUGGCAUUUAAGCUAUCUUCCAUUGUGCUUUACGUAGCAGCCACGGGCUUGUUGUUGGUUAUGAACAAGAUUCAACCAUCCCAACUUGCAGAAGAACAAAGAAGUGCUGCGAGAUUGUUCAAGCAGCUUCGUGUUCAAAUUGAAACGACAUUAGCUCUUGGCAAACUAGAUAUAAAUGAUGUUAAUGAAGCAAUGGAGAAAGUUUUAGCUCUUGCUAAGGCAUAUCCACUUCCUUUACUGGGUUCUAUGCUUGAAAAAUUCCCUUCAAAAGUUGAACCAGCAAGGUGGUGGCCAAAACAAAGGUCAAAACAAGGAUUUGUUGGGAAAAUAGAGGGAAACAAUGGUUGGACCAGAAAGCUAGAGGAAGAAAUGAGGCAAGUUGUUAGAGUUUUGAAGCAGAAAGAUUGUUGGCACAUAAUUAAAUUAACCUUGCACAAAUAAAUUAUGAAAAGUUAGAAGAGUGAAGAGACUUGAAUAUGAAAAGUGAAAAAACUUGAAUAUGAAUAGUGAAGAGACUUGAAGAUGAAAAGUUAAGAGGCUUGAAUAUGAAAAGAUACACACAUGCAUGAAUAGUCACAACUCCUAGCAUAUAGUGAUAUAGAUGAAUAGUCACUUACAACUCCUAUAUAAAGAGUUGUAUGUGAUGAAGAAUUAUUAACUUUGUGUGCUUGAAAUAAAAGAUUAUUUGAAAGAAUUUUUUCAUACAAAAUUUAUUUCUCUUCUCCAUUAUAUUCUUUAUCAUUUUCUUUGUUUUAUUUCUCCAAAUAUUAAUCAUUCAACUACAAAUUGGUAUCAGAGCCAGGUUCGAUCAAAAUGAACAAUUCUAUUCCUCUUUCUUCCGUUCCCCAAUUAACCAAAGAAAAUUAUGGAAAAUGGAGUAUCCAAAUGAAGGCUCUUCUUGGAUCUCUAGAAGUUUGGGAGAUUGUUGAAAAAGGUUAUAAUGAAGUUGAGGCUGAAGAGGAGGAAGGAUUAACACAAGUUCAAAAAGAGAGUCUAAGAAAAUCAAGGAAGAAAAAUCAGCAAGCCUUAUUUUGGAUAUAUCAAGGAGUUCAAUCAUAUGAAGCGGCUUGGGAAAAAAUAGCUUGUGCCACCACGGCAAAACAAGCAUGGGAAUUUUUACAAAAUUCAUUCAAAGGAGAUGAAAAGGUGAAAAGAGUUCGGUUGCAAACUCUUCGAGGAGAGUUUGAAAGAUUGCAAAAAACAGAGUCAGAAUCAGUUUCUGAUUACUGUUCACGGGUUUUGUCCAUAGUCAAUCAAUUAAAAAGAAAUGGUGAAACUAUGGAUGAUAUUCGUGGUGUUGAGAAAAUCCUCCGUUCUUUAGAUUCCAGAUUUGACUACAUUGUGGUUGCCAUUGAAGAAUCAAAUGACUUGAGUACCAUGACUAUUGAUGAACUCACAGGUUCGUUGCAAGCCCAUGAAGAAAGAUUAAACAAGAAGAAAAAGGAAGUAGAUCUAGAUCAAGCACUCCAAUCAAAGUUGUCUCUAAAUGAGAAGAAGGGAGAUUUUAAAAAUCAAAGAGGGAGAAAUCGUGGUCGUGGAAGAGGAAGAAAUUUUAGAGGAAGAGGCUCAAAUGCUCGUGAAAGAGGUGAAGAUGCAAGCACGGAGAAUGGAUGGAAAGAAGCCAACCAAAGUCAAAAUUUUAGAGGAUCACAAAGAGGACGUGGACGUGGAAAUCAAAGAGGAAGAGAUCGUGGCUAUUUUGAAUGUUAUAAUUGUCGCAAACCUGGUCAUUUGGCAAGUGAAUGCUGGUACAAAAAAGAAGAGAAAAAAUGAAGCUAAUAUAGUACAAAAUAAUCAAGAGAAAAAGCAAGAAACUUUGUUGCUCGUAUCUCAUGGUGGAGAGAUUGAUGAUGUCUGGUACAUAGACAGUGGUGCUAGCAAGCAUAUGACAGGUAACAAAAAUUUAUUUUCGAAGUUCUUUGAAUCUGGUUGUGGAGAAGUAAAAGUAGGAGAUGGCAAAGCUUACAAAGUUAGCGGUGUUGGUGAGUUGGAGUUCAAAACAAAGCAAGGAAGGGUAGAGAAAAUGUUUGAAGUUUAUUUUGUUCCUGGUCUUAAAAAUAAUCUGCUUAGCGUUGGGCAUCUUUUGAAGAAGGGGUAUGAUAUUCAUUUCCGUGACAUGGCUUGCUAUUUAUCAAAGAAAAAUCAGGUUGUUGCUAGAGUUGGAGUGGCAUCAAAUAAUCUUUUCUCUCUUACCCUUCAAAGUCAGAAUAUGUCUUGUUUUAUUGGUGCUCAUAAAGGAAUUUCAAAGUUAUGGCAUGAUAGAUAUGGACAUUUAAACUAUGGAAAUUUGAAUAUGCUUUCAAGGAAGAUGAUGGUUAGAGGUUUACCAAAAAUCGAUCGGCUUGAUGAUGUUUGUGAAGCAUGUCAACUUGGAAAGCAACACAAAAUUGCUUUUCCUUCUCAAUCCUCGUGGAAAGCAAGAAGACCAUUGCAACUUAUUCACUCAGAUCUUUGUGGUCCAAUGACAGUUUCAUCUUUGGGAGGUAAUCGUUACUUUAUCUCUUUCAUUGAUGAUUACUCAAGAAAGUUAUGGGUGUAUUGUGUCAAAGAAAAAUCAGAGGCUUUUCAGAGAUUCAAGAUUUCAAGGCAGAAGUGGAGAACUUUACUGGGUUGAAAAUUAACACCUUGCGUACAGAUCGUGGAGGUGAAUAUUUUUCAAAAGAAUUUGAGAAAUAUUGCCGAGAUAGUGGCAUCCGGCAUGAAAUGAUAGUCCGCCAUACACCUCAGCAAAAUGGUGUGUGUGAAAGAAAGAACAGAACAAUUAUGGAAAUGGCUAGAUGUCAUCUUAAGAAGAAGAGGUUAUCAAGAAGAUUUUGGGCUGAAGCUGUUUCCUGUGCAGUUUAUCUUAUAAACAGAUCACCGACAAGAAGCUUGGAGAAUUGCACACCACAUGAGGCAUGGUAUGGUAUAAAGCCUAGUGUUAGUCAUCUUAGAGUAUUUGGGAGUGUUGCCUACUCUCAUAUUCCAGAUGCAAUGAGAAGCAAGUUGGAUGACAAGUCAGAGAAAUGCAUUUUCAUUGGCUAUAGUGAAAGAAGUAAGGCAUACAAGUUGUAUAAUCCGGUGACAAAGAAGAUUGUGAUAAGCCGAGAUGUUCGGUUUGAUGAAAAUUCCAUGUUUGAAGAUAUGGAAGUUGAAAAGGAAAAUUUUCCAAUUUUUCCUUUUGAACUUGAAGAAGAAGAAGAGGCAGUAAUUGAGAAUGCUGAAGAUGAUGCUCAAGUAGAAAAUCCUCCUGCUUCCCCAAGUUCUUCAUCAAAUUCUUCUUCAUCCAGCCCGAUUCGAAAAACGAGAAGCAUCCAAGAGUUAUAUGAUGUAACGGAUGAAGUUGUGCAAAAUGAUGUUGUAUUCUUUGCCUUCUUUGCAGGAGAAGAUCCAAUUUCUUUUGAUGAUGCAUAUCAAGAAGAAAUAUGGAGGAAAGCCAUGAAAGAAGAGAUUUGCUCAAUUGAAAACAAUGAUACAUGGGAACUCACAGAUUUACCGCCGCACAAGAAUUCAAUUGGAGUCAAAUGGGUGUACAAGACAAAGAUGAAUCCGAAUGGCUCUAUCAACAAGUACAAGGCAAGAUUGGUUGCAAAAGGAUACAAGCAAAAGGAAGGAGAAGAUUUUAAAGAGGUAUUUGCUCCAGUUUCAAGACUUAAGACAGUUCGGUUACUUAUUUCUCUUGCUGCCCAAAACAAUUGGAAAAUGUUCCAAAUGGACGUAAAAUCUACGUUUUUGAAUGGUGUUCUCAAAGAAGAAGUCUAUGUUGAUCAACCACCAGGGUUUGUCAAAAAAGGAGAAGAAGAAAAAGUUUACAAGUUGAAGAAAGCUUUGUACGGGUUGAAGCAAUCACCCAGAGCAUGGUACAGCCGCAUCGAUUCUUAUUUUCAGAAGUGUGGAUUCCAGAAAUCUCCAUAUGAGCAUACUCUCUACAUCAAAGGCAAUUAUCAAGGAAGAUUCAUGGUUGUAAGUCUCUACGUUGAUGAUCUUAUUUUCACAGGAAAUGAUGUGAAGAUGUUGAAAGAAUUUCAGCACUCAAUGAUGGCAGAAUUUAAGAUGACAGAUUUGGGAGAACUUCAUCAUUUUCUUGGCAUUGAAGUUCAUCAAUCCGAGAAAGGAAUUUUUAUUUCACAAGAGAGCUACGCAAAGGAAGUUCUAAAAAAAUUCAUGAUGAAAAAUGCGAAUCCAGUCUCUACUCCAUGCAUUACAGGUCUGAAGUUAUCUAAAGAGGGUGAAGGAAAGCUUGUCAAUUCCACCAUAUUCAGAAGUUUGGUUGGGAAGUUGAUGUAUCUGACUUCGACAAGGCCUGAUAUCGUGUAUGCUGUUAGCUUGGUAAGUAGAUUCAUGGAGAAACCUUACUCCAAUCACUGGGAGGCUGCCAAGAGAAUAUUGAGAUAUGUGAAGGGAACCAUUGAUUAUGGAAUUUUCUAUAAAGCUAAUACAUUAGUUGAUCUCAUUGGUUAUACGGAUAGUGAUUUAGCAGGAAGCAUUGAUGAUAGCAGAAGCAUUUCUGGUUAUGUUUUUCACCUUGGUAGUGGUGCAGUUUCAUGGAGUUCAAAGAAACAAUCAAUUGUGGCACUUUCGACUACAGAAGCUGAAUAUAUCGCUGCAUCUUAUGCAGGAUGUCAAUUGAUUUGGUUACGUGGAAUUUUGGAAAGUCUUAAGCAGAAGCAAAGCAAGUCAACAAUUUUGUUUUGUGACAAUAAUUCUACUAUUUCGGUCACAAAAGAUCCAGUUCUUCAUAGAAGGACAAAACACAUUCGCAUUCGAUAUCACUUCUUGAGGGAACUAGUGAAUAAUGGUGAUGUUCAAGUUGAAUAUUGCAAGACGGAAGAUCAGAUGGCUGAUAUCUUCACAAAGCCUCUAAGUGGACAAGUCUUCAAGAAAAAUGUUGAAAGGUUGGGAGUUCAAAGCAAGUUUAAUUUAAGGGAGGCAUUGUUGGCACAUAAUUAAAUUAACCUUGCACAAAUAAAUUAUGAAAAGUUAGAAGAGUGAAGAGACUUGAAUAUGAAAAGUGAAAAAACUUGAAUAUGAAUAGUGAAGAGACUUGAAGAUGAAAAGUUAAGAGGCUUGAAUAUGAAAAGAUACACACAUGCAUGAAUAGUCACAACUCCUAGCAUAUAGUGAUAUAGAUGAAUAGUCACUUACAACUCCUAUAUAAAGAGUUGUAUGUGAUGAAGAAUUAUUAACUUUGUGUGCUUGAAAUAAAAGAUUAUUUGAAAGAAUUUUUUCAUACAAAAUUUAUUUCUCUUCUCCAUUAUAUUCUUUAUCAUUUUCUUUGUUUUAUUUCUCCAAAUAUUAAUCAUUCAACUACAAUUUGGCUGAGUAUAUAGAUUUGGGUAGCAAAGCAUUGAAACUUAAUAAAAUGUUGGCAAUAUCAGGUCCCUUGUUAACCAUUUUAGGGGCCUUGGGAUCUUCCUUCGUGGGCACUACUUUUUUUCAUGGCCUGUGAUGAUGGGAGUCGUAGCAGGUGCAGUAGCUACCACGGUGAACUUGUUGGAACAUGGCGGCCAGGUCGGAAUGGUGUUCGAGAUGUAUCGAGGUAAUGCCGGAUUCUUUAAGCUGAUUGAAGAGAACAUAAUGUCAAAUAUCAAUGAGAAAGAUGUUGAGAGAAGAGAAAAUGGAGAAAUCCUUGAAAUGAAGGUGGCUUUGCAGCUAGGGAGGAGCCUAUCAGAACUUAAGCAACUUGCAGCAAUUGCAGAAUGCAGUGAAGAAUUUGCAAGCAAACUAUUUUGAUUGAUAUAUAAGCUUAUAAAUGAUUCUUUAUUUUUUUGUACAUCUUAGAAAUGAUUCUUUUGUAUGUAUAUAUGUAUACGUAACCAUUCAAACAUAAUUUUAACAGUUACUUGAUCAAAUGAACAUCUUUGUUGAGUAUUGACAAAAAACUGGUUAUUAGAACUCAGAACAUGAAGUCAUAGUUUGAAUUCAUAUGAAGUUUUAUUUUCAUCUUGCAAAGAUAAGAUGAUCAAAUUGAUUUAAAAAAAAAGUGGAGUUUUAUAUUCAUCCUGAACUACCAUGAUGUAAGACAUAAAAUUUUUUUUAUUUUGCAAUAAUUAUUUAUUUGUCUCUUCAACUUUACAAAAAAAUCAUUUUAAUAUUUUAUUUAAAUUUUUACUUCUUUCUACCUUUAAAUUUUGCAAUUUGCAUAGUGCAUUUUACAUCAACAAAAUUAAUUAAUAUCUAUUUUAAAAAUAAUUAUAAAUUUAAAAAUUAAAAGAGAUAAAAAAUUAAAAUAACAUAACUAAAUAACUUAUUAUAUAUAUAUUUAAAUAACUCAUUAUAUAUAUAUUUAAACAUCAUGAUGUAAUAUGGAUAAAACUAAAAGGGAGGCUGAUUUUGUGAUUGGCCCCAUAUGGAUGGAUUUUUGUAGAUAAAUAAUUCAUUUAUAUAUAAUUUUAUAAAGUAUAGCAUAUACUAAGAUGGAAAGGUUUGAAAAUGUGAUUAUUAAAAUUAGCUAUAGCGUUAAUUUGACUCUCGGCCAAGAGACUAGACAGAUGAUGUCACACAAAUUAUAUUCACCUUCCAUAUACAUGAUAUUGAACUAGUUGGAAAAAAAUAUAUUUAUUAAAAAUUAGAUAAUAGUAAAGUUGAAAGUUUGAAAUUUAUGUGUGUUUUUUUAACUCGUAAUUUUUGAUUAAUUUAUAAGUUAAAAAAAUUUAUGUGCGUGUAUCAAUGCUACUUUCUUUAAAAUUUUUAUUUGUCCCCCUAAUAAUUUGAUAUGCAAAAAAGUUAAUAGUAAAUGAACCUCGAGGAUAAUGAAACUCAAUGGUUGUCUACAUUUUGCACUAGUAGAAAUAGUUCACUGAGCACUGAGCAGAGCAUAGCAAGUAUAUCAAUUUCUAUAAAAAAUUUCUACAGUAAUUAUUUAUAGAACAAUCUAGAAAUAUUAAAAGAUGGAGGAGAAUAAAAAGAAACUUUUACUUCUCAAGUUUUGAUGUGUUUUUGGUGUACCAAAUAAAUGAAUUUUAACUUCUAUUUAUAGGAGUUCUCAUGUCUCUUAAUAGAGACAUAACUAUCCAAAUGAAUAAUCACAUCUUUUAGCAAUAAACAUAAUUAUUCAAUAGAUAUAUAUUUGAAUAAUUAUGACUUUUUAUUAUUAAUUAAGUGAUAUAACUUUUGUUGACAAUAGACAUAAAUUAUCACUAUAAAUAGUGACAACUCUUAAUUAAUAACCAAGUGACAACUUUUGAAUCACUUGUAACUUUUUAAUUAUAACUAUUGGAACAUUAAAAAUAUUUUGAAAAUGUUCCAACAAUUCCCUCCUCUCUGCAUUUUCAAAAUAUUUUAGAUUUUGAUAAUCUUGAAAAUCGAUUGCAUAAAUGAAGGGGUCUUAGGAUUGAACUUUAAUUUAAUGAAAACAUGUUAUAGUUAAUCAAAAUUGCAUGGUAGACUAUGGUUUGAACCAACUAUUUCAUUUGAUUAACUGAACACAUCUCACACAACGAUUUCAACACCAAUCAAUGCACGGUAUCUAGGGACACUAUUAUGACCAUGUGUUUGUAACCUCUUUUCAUGUUGUUAAAGCCAAGUCCUUGAGCUCCUAGAAGCGAUUACAUUUCUACUCACAUAGGUAGAUCUCAUUGAGAUUGUUCCCGUAAUUAUAAGAAUCUAACAUAUUUAUGUUAUGUGUCUAUUGAGAAUGUAAUACUCAUCCCCCCAUCAUUACGGAUACCUAGCACUUUUCACCCUAUGAUGGUAUAUUAUAUAAUGUUUUAUAGUGUUAGUAGUCGCAUACUGAUGAUGUACUUUAUCUCAUUGAACUUAAGACUUAAUGUUAUACCAGGCGUUGGAUCGAGUUUCCGUCAUGGGUAACUCAAAUAGUAUGGUCUUGUACCUCAUUCCUAAAUUUCCAAAUUUCUAACAUAGCUAUAUUAAUUUUCUAUAUCACUUGGUGAAACUUUAUAUUUAUUUGUGUCUUGAAAGUUCACAAGACCAACAUCUCCACCAUGUUAUUCAUUCUUUUGCAAAAGAAUGCUAUCAAGAAUGCCAUUUGUAUGAUUAUCAAUUAACAAUGAUCACUUUAUUGGUAUUAUCAUGUAUUUUUCACCAAGUAAAAUGUUGCAAAAAGACCUCAAAUCCCUUAGUGAAACUAGACAACAUAUUUCCUAUUUUUCAUAACCUCUUUUCAUUGUCAAUACACGACCUUUAAAACUUAUCACAUAUGCAUAUCCAAAUAACAUUAUUUCUUAACAAAGCAAGGGUAUUUCAUAUAUUUUAGUAAAUAGUCAUAUUAGAGGAUAAUCAACUGUCCAACUAUUUGACUACAACGUCACACAUUUAUACACCUUUUAUCAUGGAUAUUUUUAAUCAUUUUGUGACUAUAAUCAAAACCAUGUCCAUUACUAAAAUAGGUCAAAUAGAAUUAAUAUUGGUAUUUUCAUACUAACGAGAUCUUUGAUUCACAACUUUUAAAGUGAAUUUCAAAAUUUUACUAUAUCUCAAAAUUAUAAGACUAUAAGAUUAUAGAUCAUAUCUAAGCUAUAUAUAUAUAUAUAAGUAUCAUGUACACUAUUAGGAACAUGCAUAAUAUGAUCUCGCUUUCAAAUCUAGGAUUAUUACAUUCACAUUUCCACUAAAAGAUUUUGUGCUAGAAUAGUGAUUUUAUGAGAUCAACUAAUGCUUUCCACUAUUCUAUGACUAGAAAAUUAAUGAUAUAUAUUGCAUAUGACAUAUUUAAUUUCUAGUUAAAACCUAUUUUAGUUCAACCUUUAUAAAAUAGAGUAAAAAAUGUGCAAUCAUAUAUAAAACACAUUUAGCUUGGGGUUAUUAUUUUAAAAAAAACAACAAAGAUUAUUCAUAUUAUUUAUUCAUCUAUAAACUUUUAUUUUUAGCAAUGAAUACACUUCAAAAAUGUCUCAUCAAUAACAUCCGAAUGCUAGUUAAUAUAAGUUUUCUUACCUGGUGAGGCAUGAGUUUAGUUAUAUGUAUCAAUUAAAACAUUUUAAAAAUAUUUUAUAAUUUUGUAUAAUUUUGUUUGUUUUAUUGAUAUUAUAAAUAAAUUCAAAUUAUUUAUUGCUAGUAAAAUUCUAAAAAAAGUAUUAGUACCAAAAAUUUAAAAAAAAAAGAAAAUAAUAUCUUUCUCUAAGUAAAAAAAAUACAUACAUUUUCGAAUAAAAGUUUUAUGUAAAAAAAAUACAUACUGAAGCAAUUAUAUUGGCACACACAGUGCAUCAUCUGACAAGCCGAAACAAUUAUACUGGCACACACAGUACAUCAUCAGACAAGUUGAAGCAAUUAUAUUGGCACACGGUGCAUCAUCGGAUAAACCGAAGUAUAACCUAUCCAUUUAAUAGGUAACCAAUUUUCAAUUCCAUUAUAAGUUCAAUUUACAUUCUAGCAAUCUCAAUUUAAUCAUCAAUUUAAUAUUUCAAUAUCGUAUAUAAAUUCUUAACUCAAAUUCAUACCAAUUUCAUGUAUCAGGUAAGUUAUACAACUUUCUAUCUUAUUUGAUUUAGUCCUUUAUCUCGAUAUACCAUAUCAAUCAUCUCAACUUAACUCAUACAAGAAUUAUAUACUUACCUCAUGAAUAAAUCAUGCAAUUUAACAAGAACAAGCAAUAAUUAGACUCAACAUAUCAUAGAAAUACAAACUGAAAUUUCAAGCUAUUCGUCGACGACUUUAGCUUUUCCUUUUCCUCUUGAGGAAUUCGAGUCAAUGUUAGCUACGUAUUAACAUAAAUAUACAAUAUUAUCAAUAUCAAACCAAAUUAAUAAUUAAUUUUCAUUUUAUAUAAAUUUUUCAUUUUAUUUAAUUUAGUCCCUAAAAACAAGACUAACAUAACUUUCAAAUUAAAACUCCAAAUUUAAUUUCGAUUUCACUAUAAUCCAUUAGGGACCUCCUAUUUCUUAUUUCUAUAGAAAAUUUUACAUUUUAUUCAAUUUAGUCCCUUUAUACGAAACUAUCAAUUAAACUUUACAAUUUAAUCCUUUUUCACACCUAAGCUUAAAAUCUAUCAAUUUAACACCUAAAAUUUUCAAUUCUUAACUAUAGCAAAUUUCAAAACUUUAACAGUUUUACAAAUUGAUAUAUUAGCUAGCUAGAUUAAGCUCCCAUGAUCUCAAAAAUAUAAAAUUAUAAGAAAAAAACUAAAUUGAAACCAAUUUGUUGAAAUAAAAGCUUGAGAAUUGGCCAUGCAGUUUUCCCUUUAAAUUUUUCUCAAUUUUGGUGGGGAAGAUGAUGUACUCUCUCCCCCACCGAUUUUUAAUAUAUAUACAUAUAAUUUUAUUUUUUUUAACUUUUUAAUAUAUAACUAAUUAAAAUUUUAUAAUAUAUUUUUAUAACAUCCAUUUAUUGUCCACUAACAUUUCUAGUGUGGUAAAUUUUUCAUUUUACUCUAUGGUUUAAUCACUAUAUAAAUCCCCAACUCAUUUCUUAAUAAAAAAUUUAUAGUGAUUGGACUUUAAAAUUUAGUUUCUGAACCUUAAUUAAGCAUUAUUUCAGCAAAAUUACCUAUCCAAAAUUCAAUAAAUGUAACACCCCAAACCCAACCUUGAAGUUUAAGCCGAACCUGGACGAGUUACACCAACGUAUUGAAAACUGAUUUCAGUAAUUAUCUAGAAAACAUUCAAAACUUUACUUGAUUCAUGGCGGAAAAAUCUUUUCGGAGUUUAAUGUUGAAAACCAAAAUCCAUUUUGUUGACUUGAGUGGUUUUGUAGUUUCACAUUAAAAGUUAUCAACUACUGACGAAUUUAGCAAAAGUCAAGACGAGCUCAGAAAUAGACUACAAACCAAAAAGAUCAAAAGCAUUUUUACAUUAUUACAAAACAAUCCGAGCUCCCACACACCAUCCAGUCCUAAGUCAGAGACUUACUGGAACACACAAAUAUAAAACCAAAAGGUGAGCUAUAAAGCCCAGUGUAUAACCAACAUCAAUUGCAAUUAACAAAACAUAGUAUAUAAAUCAAAGUAACAUAGAGAACUUAAUAGCGAGUAUAAGACUAGAACGGAAUAGACCAAAGUAUCAUGGAGAUUGCCGUCAUGCUAAUAUAACAGAACAACACAAACCUACCGGAACAGGAUAGAGCGGAAGAUGACAGAGUGGAAUAGAGCAGAGCUGAACUAAACAUAAUAGAAUAGAGUAGAGCUGAAUAAAGCUACGCAAAUGAUGUAUGUUUAUGCAGAUGCAAUAUUUUUUUCAAAAUAGAUCAGAAUACAGAUUUAUUAGAAAAUAUUCUACCCAACUCCACUACACACCAAGAUAGAGUUCCCCCAGAACUUGUCCAACCAAAUCACACCAACAGGUAUCCGUGGACAGUGCCACCAGAAUUUUCCAGUUAAAACUGCUAGAUCAGAUAUUCGUGGUCAAGCUACUAGAAUAGGUCCGUGGAUAAACCACCAGAUAGUGCAGAUAAUUAAACUGCAAGAAACUUCCUCUUUUCACAUCAUCUCAAGCCCUAUGCAGUGUGUCAUGACAUGCAUAUGUAGAAGCAUAGUGAUAAGCAUGUAAGUCAUGCUAUCGUACAACAACAUAGUCAAUAGGAAUAGGAGCCUAUGCGUUAUAAAAUAGAUUGAUCAAAACUUAACAAAUAAUAUCAAAUUUUCCAUAAAGUCACAUGCAUGGUUGUAAAUCAGAAUUAGUGCCAAUCAAUUUAGCAUAUUUGAUGUCACAUGUUCUUAGGCAAUAGAAUAACGUAGAGGCAUACCAUCAAACUUAAUAGAAUACACAUCGUACCUGGAUAAUUCGCAUAAAUUAAACAUGAGCACAUGCCACUCUAAUAGAUCCUACUUAUUUAGGUUUAAACAUAGUGGAUAUACGUACAGAUUACAAGGUGGUCAUCACCAAAUCAUCAAAUAUAAUCUUAUAUAACCUAAUUUAGAUUGUACGGACCCUACAGUAGGCUUACAUUCGUUUUGAAAGAUCCUUGUGGCCUAAGGGAAAAAAUUCCAAAUAUUGGUCCACACGCUUGUUUGGUUUCACACGGCUUAGAUACCUGGCCCGUAUGCCUCCACACGGUCUAGCACACGCCCGUGUGUCCUAUACGACCUGACACACGCUAGUGUCACCUGCACGUGUGGUCCUAGUCUGCAAUCAGUGAGUUACACGGUAUAGACACACGCCGGUGUCAUUGGCCCGUGUGAACCCUGCAUAACACAUAACCACACACGACUUGGACACACGUCCGUGUGCCUCCAAUUUUCAAGAACAAAGAGUUACAAGUCCUAUCACACGGUCUAACACACGACCGGGUGGCUUGUAUGGCCUACCACACGGCCUAGCACACUACUGUGUGGCAUCGACAAUCAGUUUUUCGAUGACUAAAAUUGAAACAAAAGUUGGGUUAUCGGUACCCACCUGAGACAGAUUCAAUGUAGGAGCAACAAGGAUGAAUUCCCGUAUUUAAAACAACAUUACAACAAUAGAUUAAACGACUUAUUCGAAACAAUCAUUAAGAUUAACAUCCAAACCUGAAAUGAUGUCAAAGAACUUCGACACGAAAUCUCAAAACAAAAGCUAACGCUUACCCUUGUACGAAAUCAGCAGUACAAACUUAGAAUGUUGAAAGAACGUUACUUUUGAGAACUUCGUCUAACAAAGACUUACACAAAUAAGAAUCCAUUCCAAACAAAAAGGACGUAACUUCGAUCAUCAUCAAACUCAAGCAAAUAAAACUUGACAAAGGACACUUACAGUUCAAUUGAAGAUUAACCGCACAAAGGAACUUGGAGUAACAAAUACAAAAGGAUUCAAUGACAGAAUAAUGAAGUAGAAGAAAGGAAAAAGUAUAAUUGAACGGAAGAGGAGUAAAAAAUAAAAGAAAGAAAAAUAGAAGGAGAAGUGGAUGUUCUGUGAAUAUGAGAAUCGGAAGUUAAUUAACUUGUUUUCUUUAAAAUCAAACAAAACAAACUAAAUUACAAAAUAAUGCAAAAAUUUUCCCCAUUGCUUACGUAGAGACUCAAACACAAGACUAAAUGGUAUACAAAAGCUUAACCAUUGAACCAGUCAUUCUUAUUAUUAGUUGAUCGAAAAUUGUACUUAUGCCAAAUAAUCAAGAGUAAGGGUUUGAUAAAAAUAACAAAAUUUAAAAGACCAAGAUUCGAACUCAAAAUCUCACACACAUGACUAAAACACCUAACCACUAAACCAAAUUAGUUUACUUGUUAAAAUUUCUAAGAUCUUAACUCAUAAAUCGAGAGAUGACCACUCUUGAUUUCAGAACUCAAUUUCUUCUAACCUAGUUUUUGGGAUGUUACAAUUCAUUUAUAAUAUAACUCCGUAAAUAUUUUUUUCGGUCUUUAAAAUGGAAUCUCAAAACUGUAUUUUUCAAUAUCACUAACUUUCGGGUCGUUACAUUUGCUUUGUUGUUUGUGAGUUAAAUUGUCAUUUCGAUAGAAAAUUUAAUUGAGGUCAUAGCUUUCAAUCAAAUUCUUUUUUUUUCUUUACAUGAUUUUAAGUUUUUUUUCUAGCUAUUAGGAUUAUAGAAUGAUUGACAAUUUGGUGAAUUAACUUGCAGCAUUCUUUUAAUAAUUGACUUAAUUAGUUGGUUAAUGGGUCUAUAUUUUAUAAUAAAGACAAUAUAUAAAACUUUCUUUUAGGUAAUCUUACAUUCUAUUAACCAAACGUAUGAAUCUUACAUUCCAAUCAAAUGAAACAAACAAGUUAGUCUCACAUUACACCCGUAAUUACAUUCCUCUAAAUCCUAUUAUGGAACAAAAUCUAAGAUUCGACGAACCAAACAUCCCUUCAAAGUAGUCUGCAUGUAACAAAGCGACUCUUGCAAGCUUAUGGGCUGCCUUGUUAGUGUCUCUAAUAUUAAUCUAAACUUUGAAAGCCUAAAUAGUCCUGAUUAGAAGAAAUUGAGUUCUAUGUAUUUAGUUGAAAUUGAUUUUAGGUUCGAUCUCUGGACAAACUAUAUUCCUUACUUUUUAUCUCAAAAAAGUAAACAAGAAGCAGCCUAAAAGGUGUUGAUUAUGGUUGUUUAAAUUGGAUUGGACUAGUCGAUAUACUAGUUCAAAUAAAAUGAUUGAAUUGGUUGAAUCGUGAAUCAUUUUGAACCGUGAUUGAAUUAGCAUUGAACUGAAAACCAAUUGAACCGAUUACUUUUUAUUUUUUGGGCCAAAAUUCUUAGCCCAAACCGAGAAAAAAAGCUCAACCCUAAACCCAAUAACCAACCAACUCAAACCUAGUUCAUAAAAGCUUUUUUUUAAAAUAUUUUUUCUUAUUUUCCAAAUUUAUUUUUUCUAGAUGUCCCUAUUUUUCAAAAUUUUUUUAGUACUUAAUCAAUCAGACCAACAAUCAUACUGGUUGGACUGGUGAAUAAAAAAUCGAUGAUAUGAUCCAUCCGACUAUAUGUAUAAUUCUAAAAAUACGUCUUACAUGCAUAUAUAUCUCAAAUAAACAAAAAGGUAAGGGGGCAUUUAGAAAUUUAAUCCAAAAAAUAACUUAAAGAUCAAAAAUAAAAUUGCGUACGAGAAUCGCGCUCCUUCAUCUUCUUCAUUAAUGGAAAACUAAUCUGUUUUUGUGCUUUUCGGUGUUGGGUUCGUUGUUACUGAAAGAGCUUGCAUUACUCCUUUUAAUUUUGAUCAUCUUUUUGGGGUUCCAGAAAAGGAAUAACGUUUAAAGAUGCUACAGUUGUUGUUCACGGUGAUAUUCGCAGAGAUGGCGGUGAUCAUCGUACUAUGCUUCAAGACACCGUUAAGGAAGCUGGUGUUAAUGGUUCUGGAUCGGGCCAAGAGGGGACGAGGUCCGGUCAUAGUGAAGACGGUGGGCGGAACAGUAUCCGUUGUGAUGUUGUCGUACAUAUUCAGCAUGAUGAUGCUCAAGAAACGCUGGAUCGUUGAUGGAAACGCUUCUCUAACGGACGAGAUUCUCAUGGCCAAAAACCUCCUCGAAACUACUCUCAUGGGUAAUUAAUUAAUUAAUUCUUCCUCCAUAGUUCUAUUAAAAUCUAAUCCUAAUUUUUUUCACUUUUAUUCGCGAUCUUGAUUCCUUCUACCAUACGGUAUGCAAUUAUUAUGAUUGUUUAUAUCUUAUUUUCUUUUCUAGAAUGCUUAUUAUUUGAUUUUGACCUAAUUGUCAAAAUAGAUUGGUUUGAUUCAAUUGCUUCUUUAUGCAAUUAGGGUGGCGAAGACUUGAUUCAGGUUCCAAAUUCUAAUAAUAUCAAUACCCUUUUACUUUUGAUUCAAUUCCCUGAAAUGUAUACAUUAUUUAUCUUCAAAAAUGGAGGGAAAACAGGACAAUGGUACCUGUUUUUUAGCCUUAUAUAUAACAUAUAGCACUUGGACCUUCAUUUUUCUUAAACACUAUGUUGAACACAUAGAUCUGAGGAUAUGAUCUCUAAAGGUGUGGAAAAUCUUAGAAAAAUCUAACCAUGCCCGUCUCGUAUACUUACUCAUAGCUGACGCUCACACCUGAAUCAUGUAUUCUAUAAUUCUCCUCUUGCAGUGUAAACUUUCGUUUGUUUUCUUGAUAUUAUGGUUUUUUACAUGUCAUAUUAAUUCCCAAAAGUUGAUGUAUGCUUCAUUCUUCAGCUAGAAGUUCACUGGGGAUGUCUCUCACUUCCUUUUUGGUCGGAUAAUAAACUGUGUUUUUAAUGGUGGGUAACUUUUUUUACAGGGGGAUUGCUAUUCCUAUCACUAAUUAUAGACAAAUUACACCAUUAUAUUAAAGAACUCCGUAUAAGAAGGAAGACCAUGGAGACUGCCAAGAAACAAGGUCAGGGAUUUGAAGAUGCAGGUGGGUCAGACAAAGUUACGGCCCUGGAGGAAGAAAUAGCCACUCUGAGGGCAAGGAUUAAGCAGCUUGAAUCUGACUAGAGCUUGUCACAUUCAGGUGGUAAGAAGAACGAAUACCUAAGGAAUUUGAGCACCUCUUGCGAAUGUGUUUUUGCAGUUUCAUUAGCGUUUUUCCAAUAAAGGUCUUCAGGAGUUCUGUAAUGGAUUUGAUUUUUGCAGUUUAGUUCUUGAAUUUUGUCAAACGGAGAAAGAUCCAAAGAAAAAAAAAUACACACACAUACGUAUAUAUAUUUGAGAAAUUAGCCUCUCUUUGUCAUUUCAGCUUCAUGUUUUUAUUAUUGAGAAUCUACUGUUCAAUGAAUCAAUGGAUGAGUUUUGAUCUUUGAUAUAUUUUAGAACAUUGUAAUAGUUUGAAUGCUAGAAUAAGAACUUUAUAUUACCCAAGAAAAUGGAUUUUUAAACCAACAAAAUGCUUGGUAAUUUGAGUUAUAAGUAUGCCCAAGAAAACCAUCAAACUAUUCUCAGUAACGUGCAUCUAUGUCUAUAUAUUAAGCAUGUGGUUGAGUUGUUUUCUUGAGUUAUUAUACCUAAUAAUUGUAUUAUUGUAUUGUGUAGAGGGUAUUUUUACCUUUUUAUAUAUAAAAAUAUAUGAUAUGAUUUGAACACAAAUUUUUAUAAUUUUCAAUAUUUAUACAUCACCAUUCAACCAAAAUCUCUCACACAGGUGUUUCAUAAUUUAAUAUUUAUAAUUUGAUUAUUAAAACCCAAGAGUUCUCCAAAUACAUCUUAGAAAUAGUUUAGAAUUACGUCCCAUAUCAAACAUAUACCCGUAUUAGGCACUUAUUUCGUCGUGGCUCCAGCAUUUGAUUUCUUGUUUUUGCAAAAAGCCAGUAUGGGAUCAUCAGUUCCACCCAACAGCCGGUCAAUGUUAGCAGCAGUGAGCAUCAUUAAGCCAAGAAAAACCAGAACUGACACUACUGACAACAAAAGCAUUAAGAGAGUUGCAACAUGACAUUUCACCUCUCGUGAGUAUUCAACAGCUGCCAUGGCAAGGAAGGUUAACGGGAAAGAAUAUGCCCACCAUGCCACAUUGAAUUUCCUCAUGGAUUUCUUGAAUAGGAAUGGCCUGCAAGCCUGUAAAAACCGACCAUAGCAUAUAUCGAUGUCACUGUCUGGUUUGACUGCUAUAUAUAUAUAUAUAUAUACUACAAACACACAUGUUUAACGUUGUUUGCUGUAAAUUUACCAGAGAUACGAAGAGGAAGAGAGAAAAGAAAAAGAGCAUCUUCGAUGUGGUAUCGAAAGUUCCGGUAAUGGAGUUCCAAGCUAAACUACCCAUGCUGGGAGCAGCAAAGAACAAGAAGAACGUUGGUCGUAAAAUCGUAGGGAGAGAAUUUUGACGCGAUAAGCGUUGAUAGAGUGUAACAAAGAGUACUAAAUAGUGAACCAUACCAAGUGACCACAUACAAACUGCACUCUCUUUCCAGCCCAUCUGUGCUGCAGCUCGAGCGGCUACCAAGUUCCCAAUCACCGAUAUCAGGCUAGUCGGGUUUGCCAUUACCGAUAGAAACCGUUUCUCCGUUGUGAACCAUUGUCCGUAUAUUUUAAUAUCAAGCAUUGCCAAGGGAACAAUAAAGGUCCAACAGAGAAUCAUAUAAAGAAGGCAGGUAUUCUGAAGGAGAAUCGGUGCAGAUUGAAGCAAGGCAAGCCAUGAAAUCCAAGGAGCAUACAGAUAGUUAACUCCGAUAUGGUGUGAGAACUCGGCCUUAACCAAAUCGAACUGAAAGUAACAUCGGAGAACAUAAACCAAAGUCAGUGAAAUCUGUGUUAAAGCAGCUAGACACCAUAGCAGCAAACAAGCCGUAGAUGGGAGCUUGCUGAAAACAUGCAGAACAUCUCGAGAAACACCAUUUGGUUGAGUCAGAAUCUUCCACAACAAAGCUUGACACCCAAGGGAAAGGCUUAUCCUAAAAUACCCAGCAUGGAUCUUCGUUAAUAUAUUGGAACAUGAUGGAGAUAGCGCCUCACCGUUGUUCUUCUCUGGUUGGUCAGUACUGCUAAUGGAAGCUUCUACUAUGAGCUGAGUUGGUGGUUUGCAUUCUAUUUCUUCCAUCAUUAGGUUAAGAAUUAUAGAUUAAAACUUUGGGUUUGUGUUUGUGUUUGGGUUUGGCCUUUACGAUAAGGCUACUUGCAUAUAUAUAGAUGAUCGAAACAAUCAAUAGAAAACUGCACCAACUGAUUCUUUGAAAAGGGUUCGUGGGAGAAAGGCGUGGACUUAUCACCAAGAAUAGAGUAAUGGAACCUUCUUUUUGACGUGACAAAAACCUAAUUACUCAAAAACAAAAAACUACUCAAGAUGGAAACAUAUAUUGCGUCUUCCGUGGCCAACAUAUAUAUUUGGUAUAUUUCAGAAAGAAAAAAAAAAAGAAGAAACGGUGAUGAAAUGGGUGGGACUUUCAUGCACCUAACCAAGAACCAGGCUUUAUUCAAGGCUCGAAUUAUUAUUUAAUAAUUAAAUUUAUUUAAUGUUAAAUGGAGAGUAAUUCGUGCCCUUGGAUAAAAAGCAAGAAAAAAAAAGCUUAGGUAAGAAAUAAUUUUUAUAAAAUUGAAUUGCCUCCUGACCCGAACCGUGGUUAGGCUUAGUGGGAAUGAUGUCACAUUUAUCUUUUGAGGGGUUGAUUAAAGAAGUUGAUGACAAAAUGUAAACUAUAUGAACCACGCAAAAGAAUUUUAGGAUACGUGAGGUAUAAAUUUUUCAGUUUUUAUUGGGUUGAAAUAGACCCCUAUCUUUUGCUUUUGGAUUUGUAGGAUGCAGGGAAAACAUCAAAUGCCAUAUUUAAGAACUGACCUGGGAAUAGUAUUCGCAUUGUCUUAGCCUAAUUUGUAGUAAAUGCAAUAUCUUUGAAUAGAUACUGAAGUUAAUGCAUGUAGUUGGAGAUGAGUCAUACGUGAGUGGGUUAAUAUUACUUAAUUAAGCUCAAGGAAUAGGAAAUGGAGAAUAUUUAUACAUAUACAUAUACAUAUACAUAUAUAUACACGUAAAUGAUAUAUAUAUAUGUAUGUAUAUAUAUCCAUGGUUGGUGUUUGCUAAUGAAAUUCCGCAAGAAAAGGAAUGGGGAAAAAGCAAUGGUGUUGAGGGACUGGCAAUUUGGCAUCCGACACGCCUAGGCGGCUGACAAGAUAAAAGAAGAUACCUUAUAAUAUGCACAUAAUAUAAUAUAAUAUUAUAUGUAUAUAUAAUGAUCCUCAAGGUUUUUGGUUGAGGCAUCCACUUUCAGUAGGCGUGAGUAGGUCAUUCUCUUUUUCGGAUUUAAUCUGUAAUAAAGAUCAAUAAUCGUCGGCUAUAAAAUCUAUUAUGUGAUCUUUCAGGGAUUGAGAGGCCGUAUAUUAACAGCCAAAUUAGGCUGCUUUAAUUGGAUAUUUACGGAAAGAUGGUGAUCAUAGCUUCCAUGGCUUUCCAUAUGAUAGGAGAUAUAUAUAAUAUUUCAUGGAGAUUUAUUCGUUGUGUUGCAAGUGUUGAUUUGCAGGCUUAGCUCUUGUGUUCUUGAUGCCUCAACAGUAAAAAGUUAAAAGUGAUGAUGAAACUUAGUAUGCCAAAAUUUUUUUUUACUAUUUAUUAAGUAGAUAUUACUCUCAAAUUAGUUCACCAACAAUAUUACAGAAAUAUAAUUAUAUAAUUAAAAUAAAUUAUAGUAUUUGAAGGUAUUUUAGUCGGUUAAUUUUCACAAAAACCAAUGAAAAUAUGUCUAUGAUCGAUUUAAUUCCACACCAAAAAGAUUAAUAAAAUUUUAAAUUAGCCAAUCAACCAAAUUUUCAUUUUAAUAUAUUUUUAUACAUUUUUUAUUUUAAUAUUCACAAUUUAUUAUCUCCAUCAUUUGUAUAUAUUAAUAAUUAAUAAUGUUGUUAAUUGAGUUAGUGUCACAAGUCAACUAGACAUUAACUCAUAAUUGAUGAUAACCUCAUGAUAAAUAAUUGUAGUGCAUUUAGUAUUGUUAAUAUGAUGUAUUUAUGUUGUUAAGUUCAUAUAUUAUUAUGAUAAUUAGUUUUAAACAAUACAUUUCAUUGUUUAUUGUAUGUUAUUUUUAAAUAUAUAUCUGUGUUUUAAAUUCAUGGUUUCCACACGUAUACGCGUGUGAUAGGAUUUCUAGUAUUAAUAAUGUAUUUGAUUGAAUUGGUGUCAUCAGUUAAACUAUUUUUCAUUUUAAUUUCUUACAUGUUCCAUAUGUGUUGAUGUUAUUAUUAGUGUCAAACCGUAUGUUUCAUUAUUUAUUUUAUGUUAUUUUUAAACAUACAUUUUUAUUCAAAAUUUGUGAUUUCUUCACGCAUACAUGAUAGUAUUUUUAGUAUUAACAAUGUAUUUAAUAGAGUUGGUAUUACAAGUUAAACUAAUUUUCAUUAUAUUGCAUAUGUGGUGUGGUGUUAUUAUUAUUAGUUUCAAUCCUUAUGUUUUAUUUUUUUGUAUGUUAUUUUUAGACACAAUUUUUUAUUCAAAAUUUACGGUUUCCACACACAUACACUGUGAUAGGAUUUCUAGUAUUAAUAAUAUUAUGAAUUGAGUUGUGCCAUAAGUAAACUCGACAUUAACUCACAAUUGAUGAAAAUACCAUGAUAAAUAAUUAUAGUGCAUUUAGUAUUGUUAAUAUGAUUUAUUUAUGUUGUUAAUUUCAUGUUAGUUUCAAACCAUAUGUUUCAUAGUUUAUUGUAUGUAAUUUUUAAACACAAAUUUGUGGUUUAAAUCCAUGUUUUCCACAUGCAUACUCGUGUGAUAGGAUUUUUAGUAUUAAUAAUGUAUUUGAUUGAGAUGAUGUCGCAAGUUAAUCUAUUUUUCAUUUUAAUUUCGUGCAUAUUGCAUAUGUGGUAUUGUUAUUAUUAUUAGUUUCAAAUCUUACGUCCCAUUAUUUAUUUUAUGUUAUUUUUAAACAUACAUUUUUAUUCAAAAUUUAUGGUUUCAACACGAAUAUGUGUAUGAUAGGAUUAUUAGUGUUAAUAAUGUAUUUGAUUGAGUUGGUGUCACAAGUUAAACUAUUUUUCAUUUUAAUUUCGUACGUAUUGCAUAUGUGUUGUUAUUAUUAUUAGUUUCAUACCUUAUGUUUCAUUAUUUAUUAUAUGUUAUUUUAAACACACAUUUUUAUUCAAAAUUUGUAGUUUCCACACACAUACGCGUGUGAUAGAAUUUCUAGUAUUAAUAAUGUUGUUAAUUAAGUUGGUGUCACAAGUCAACUCGACAUUAACUCACAAUUAAUGUUAAUGUCGAGAUAAAUAAUUGUAGUGCAUUUAGUAUUGUUAAUAUGAUGUAUUUAUGUUGUUAAUGUCAUGUGUUAUUAUGAUUAAUUAGUUUCAAACCAUAAAUUUCAUUGUUUAUUAUUUGUUAUUUUUAAACACAUAUCUGUAUUUUAAAUUCGUGAUUGUCACACUCAUACGUAUGUGAUAAGAUUUCUAGUAUAUGUAUAUGUUAAUGCAUUAUGUUAAAAAAUAUGAAACUGACCUUUAAAUACUAGGGAAGUGCCCACUUCCCCAGUACUAGAGCUAUUUAAUGAUAGUUUCCAUAUUUGAGUAUUGACAAUUUAUUGAACUAUUUGAAUGGGUUGUGCUUAUUAUUUGGAGUAUAUUUAGCCUAUCAAAGAAGGUCGUUUUACUUGGGAGACUCAUAUUGAAGAUUGGAUCGAACUAAAACACCCAAGUCAAUCCCUUGCAACAUGGGCAUUGGAUUGGAUUGAAACUCUAUAAUAUUAGUUGCCAAGAGUCCAUGAUUGGUUUAUUCUCUAUUUUAUAUUGUAACCAGUUUAUUGUAUUACUGUUUUAAUGAGAUUAUUAUAGAUAUUCAAUGUUAGCAAGUCUCGAGCAUAAAUCUAUUUAAAGGAUAGAGUUGUGUAGGUUAUUAUACCGAAAGUUUUUAGUACUUAUUUUGUUUAAGGUAAGGAACAUUUCUUUAAGUGCAAUUUAUUAGUAAAACCAUUUGUGUAAAUGUUUUACUUGUUGAGUUCACAAGGGUGAAGCUAGUGGUGAGUGUAUCUGUCUUCAAGGUUCCAAAGUAGGGAGAAUCAUCAUGAAGUGUGUGAGAGGUUAGGAUCACUUGCUGUAACUGUUAAAGGUAGUCUAUAUUUAUUACUGAGUUAGACUCCACAAACGUAGGGAAAUCGAACUUUGUAAAUAAUUUUUGUGUCUUCUUUGUGUUUUGCUUUCAAGUUUUGGUGCCAAAGAAGUGCCCACGUCUCUGUCACUCAUUACAAGCACUUAGAUUAUUUUGCAAGCAACAAUUUAAUAAUUUCAAUUGGUAUCAGAUUUUUCCAUUUAACGUAACUAGUGGAGGUCCUAAAGGUUUUUAGAAUCAAGUAAUGGAAGGCUCUUUACAUCUUGACCUUUUAUGAUGAAGUUGAAAACUAAGCUUACUAGAAAGCACAUAUGAAUGCAUAAAUUAAGCGUAUUGAUGAAAAUGCAUGGCAUGAUGUGUUGACAAGUCGGGAACCCUUUAAGAUGGACAGUGAAAGUGGGAGAGUAGUCAAGCCUGAAGCUUAGUGGACCAUUGAGAAAGAACAAUUGGCCAAUUCAAAUAAUAAAGCUUUAUAUGCUAGAUUUUAUGGAGUUGAUCUUCAAGAAUUCAAAAGAAUUGCCAAAUGCACUAUGAAAAAAUCAGUCUAGGAUAUAUUGGAGACUACUUAUGAAGGCACUACAACUGUCAAACAAUUAAAUAUGCAAAUGUUUACAUAUAGAUUUGAAAGUCUUAGAAUGCAAGAAUCAGAAAUAAUUGGUGAAUUCUAUGCUAAAUUGUGCGAUCUUUCAAAUCAAGCAUUCGUAUUGAGAGAAGAGUACUUCAAUACAAAGCUUGUUAGGAAAGUUUUAAGAUUUUUUCUUGAGUGGUUCUCGAUAAAGGUUAUUUUUAUUGAAGAGGCCAAGGGUCUGGAACGGCUAGUCAUUAAUGAACUUAUUAGCUAAUUAUAAACUUUUGAGAUGAAUCUUUACGAUGCAAAGCAAGGUAAGAAUAAAGAGGAUAAGAACCUACCUUUUCAAGCCACUGAGGCAAUGCCUACUUCCUCAAAUGUAACUAUUGAAGAUCUUUAAGAACGAAUUGCCCUACUAAUUAGAACUUCAAUAAGGCCUUCAAGAAAUAAGCUAGAAAGUUCAAAAAAUUUUAAGCUAGUUCAAAUGCUUCAAAAAAAUAAAACCAAGGGAAUUGUCAUCAAGAAAGAGCUAGAGAAGGAUAUAAAGAAAGGAGUAAAGUAUUAUGAGUGUCAGGGGUAAGACCACAUUCAAUCUGAGUGUGCUAACACCUUGAAGAAAAAGAAGAAGUUAUUAUGUUACAUGGAAUGAUGAUGACUUAUCUAGUGGGUUUAAUUCUAAAGUGGUGUAACACCCCUAACCCGUAUCUGUUGCUAGACUAGGGUUAAAGGCGUUACCGGAAAAAUCUAAAUAUCUCGCAUUCAUUUCUCAAUAAUCAUAGCAUCAUCAUCACAUAACAUUACACAGUCCCUUACAUAGGUCAACGAGACCUUAAACAUACUUUAGAAAGGGGUUGGGACUAAACUGAGCACAUACAAAAUUUUUCUUAAACUUAACAAAAUUUUCAGAGUUUCAUAGGUCACACGCCCAUGUGAACAGGCCGUGUGCUUCACAUGGCUUUAGACAUGCCCACGUGUCUAAAUCGUGGCAAAACAGGGCAUACAUACUGACUUUACCACAAGGCCACAAGACAAGCCCGUGUGCCUUAGCCGUGAUCAAAACUGACUUGGGUCAUAUGGCCAACCAUAUGCCCGUGUGUCUAGCCUAUGUACCCUUCGAAAUGGCCACACACUUCCAUGUACCAAGGCUGUGCACCACACACGGCCACUAGACACGCCUGUGUGUCUAGGCCGUGCUCAAAACUAACUUGAAUAACUAAAUUACACCAGACACACGGUCGAGACACACGCCAGUGUGCUCAACCAUGUGGGGUGAAAUUAGGCUUGGUUUAAGCCACAUUUCCCACCUAUCUCAAGCACACCAAAUCCACAACAUUUUUUUAUCACUAACAUACAUUUAUAGGCAACCAAAUCAACCAUUUCAAACAUAUUCCAUGCCAUUCAAAUACCAUCCAAUUCACUACUCAAUUUCUCAACCAAAACAUACCUAAUCAAUGUACCAAAAUCAUCACAACUUACAUAAGUUUCAAAUACAUAAACUUAUCAAUUUAUCAAAUACUUCAUACCACAAAACUUGCCAAUUCAACAUUCCAUAUUCAAACCAUUAUAUGAACAUUAUAUACAUCAUAUUACUUACCUAUCAAACACAUCAUUUAGGCCAACUUAAGAGGCCAUACCUAACAACAAUUCCAAGCCAAAACUCAUGGCUAAUAUUCACAUCACAAAACAUACCAAAAUGACACAAGCUUAUACAUGCCAUAUACCAUAUAUACAACUCUCGAAAUGGUACCAAAAUAGAUGUCUGAUAGUGUGAUUGAUGUCGCUGACGAUUCCUAAAUUUGAGCUAUCCUUAUAAAACUGUAAAACAGAGAACAUUUCACAAAGUAAGCUUUAAAGCUUAGUAAGUUCGUACCAUAAAUAAACAACAGUUUAUAUUAUACAAAACAUUCACUAAUAAACAAUUAGUAGUUCACAAUUCAUUCAUCAAUUCUAAUCUAUCUCAUAUAACAAGUUUAUACGAAUUCAUCAAGCUUCAUACACAUAGUAUCAUCUACCACAUAGGUAUCGAACAUACCUGAUCUUUCCUGUAACACCCCUAACCCGUAUCCGUCACUGGCUUAGGGUCACGACGUAUUACCAGUCAAAACACAAAUUUAAACGAACACAUACAUACACUUGCAAAAUUUUAUCUAUCUUUAUUAUUUUUAUUUUAAAAGAACACAAUCAUUUAUUAACUUCAUUAAUCGAUUUAAAUAUCAAUACCACAUAACAGAAUACACUUUUGAUUCAAAUUAUAAUACGUGCAUAUAUUCAGACUUCAUUACACUUUAGUUGCAUACUAAAAAUCAUACUCAAAUAAAACACCCAAAAUCUACUACAUAUAAUUAUUUAAUAAAAAUCAUAUUAUAUUUAUCUUUCAUUUACUAUCAAGUUGGACAUUUAUACAACACAUAAUAUACAUGCUAUUUUCAUAAUUUAUCAUUGAUCAAGUCAAUAUUCAUUUGAUCAUUCUUCCAUGCAUUUAGCCAAAAACAAGUUUGUUUUGAAAACAACUCACUUACAACUUAUCUCAAUCAUUUUACAAGUUUAUACACUUCAAAUGUUUAAAUUAUUAUACAUAAAAUAUAACAUAGUUUUUCCAACAUUUUAUACACUGCAACCUAAUACAUACAUACUAUAAUUAUCUAAUUUUUUAAUCACAUUUACCGAACCCUAAUAAUAUAAAUUAAUAAGUCCAAACAAUAUAUCCAACUUAUCACUACUUAUUCAGUACAUUACCUAACUAUCAUAAUCGAAUUUGAGCAUCUAAAACCCACUCAAAAACAUGCAUGUAAUCAUGAUUCAACUAAGUUGAAUGAAAAUACUUAUUAACUAAAGAAGAUUAUUUUUAUCAUUACAAGACAUUAACUACAUACAAAUAUAUCCAAAACAUAAACAUUACCUACCAUAUGUCAAACAUGACAAGUCAAAUUAUCAUAUGCAUAAGUAUUUGUAUAAGCAAUGCCGAAUCACAAAUUAAUCAUUAUCAUUUUAUUCCAUCUCACCUUAUAACCGAAUAUAUAUACCAUUUCAUUAUUGAAAUAGUUUUCCUACCAAUUCAUAUUUGUUUUACCUAUACCAAAACCUUGGCCGAAGCAAUUAAACAUGCUAUGCAAAUAUGUACACACAAUGUUCAUUACAUCAACCAUUUUCAAAACAUAUAACAUUUAACACAUAUACCAUGCAUAUCAUGGCAUGCAACAUUAUAACCAGAACAGAUUAAACCAUUACCAAAAUAUAACUAAAACCAAACUUAGGAAUUAAGCUAUUUUUGCAUGGCUUUAGAUUUACAUAGCCAACAUUCCACAUUUCUAAAGUAUGUUUCAGCCUAUACAUGUCAUAGUACCAAAAUGUAACUUAUUAAAUACUGGUGGCGGUCGAUAGUGUGAUAGACUUUGCUGACAAUCCCCGAGCUUGUAACUUGAAUCCAAAAUCUAUAAAACAGAGACAAAUAUUCACACAGUAAGCUAUUGUAGCUUAGUAAGUCAUAAGCAAAUUAACCAAUCAAAAGUGUAAUCAAAGCAUUUAUAACAAACCUAAUUAUAACAUUAUUAUUACACUUGGUCUUAAACAUAUCAUUUAAUUUAUUUAUAACUUAUACUUUCACACAAAUAAGUUACUUGGGCCGAAUUCUCAUAUAUCUUAUUUAGCAUAAUAUCAUUCGACUUUCAAAGUCAAAUGACAUUAUACCAAGUAUUCUUACAUUCAUAUACACAAACUCAUGAAUCAAAUCUCGACAUCAUAUAUAUGCACUUACAUAUAUAUAGCCGAACAUACUUUUCAUAUUUACUCACAUUCUUCACUUACAUCUUACAUGACUUGUAAUAAAUAUCAAGAAACUUACUUAACUUGUUUCAAUUAAGUAAUAAGCUAAAUUCAUACCUAGUCAUUUUAGCUCAUUUCACACAUCCGUACACGAAUUACCUUCGCCCGAUGAACCAUUCAGAAUUGGGUAGGACACUCAGAUAAUCACACAUUUAUCGUACAAUGCCAACGUCCCAGACGUGGUAUUACAUGUAACCACAUAUCGAUGCCACUGUCCCAGACAGGGUCUUACUCGCACACAUAUAUCGGAAUCCUAUGUCAUGACAUAUGUAUCCUAACUAUUCUUAAGGUUCAUACGGGAUUUUCGGAUGUCGUAACUCGGUCAAAACGAAUUCAGAAAUGUGGUAGCCAAGUUUGCUCAUAUUCGGCCAUAGCAUAUAUAAAUUCAAACAUUUCAUACCAGCAUAUAUAUUUAGCAUUUAACUACAAUUAAGUACGUCUAUUUACUUAUAAACUUACCUCGGACGAUGUAAAACAGAACAGAGCAGCUAGUCGAUAAUUUUCGUUUUCCUUUGAUCCAAAUCCGAUUUCUUUGGUUCUUGAUCUAAACAUAUUCAAAUUAAGCUCAUUCAAACAUAUUUUCAUUCAAUUUAGUCCAAAAACACAUAAAUGGGAAAAUUACCAUUUUACCCUUAACAUUUACAAUUUUUACAAUUUAGUCCCUAUUGCACAAAACACAAAACACACAAAAUUUCUCCAUAUCCAUGCUAGGCCGAAUAUUACCCAUAACCAUACAAACCCAUAUAAUUUAUUUAUUUCACAUUUUAGUCUUUUAAAUUAUUAUUUUUGCAAUUUAGUCCUAAUUACUCAAAAUCAUCAAAAACUCCAAUACAAAACAUGUUGAUCUAAAACAUAUCUUUCAUAAUUCAUCAUCAAAAAACAAAAAUCAAAAGCUCUCAACAAUGACACAACUCAAAAUAUUCAUCAAAAUAAAAAAUUCAGGCAUGGGUUUUGUAGUACUCGAAGCAACGAUCUCAAAAAUGUAAAAAUUAUCAAAAACCGAGCUAAACUCAUACCUUAAUCAGGCUUGAAUGUAACCGAACCCUAGCUUUUUUUCUUUUUCUUUCUUGUUGAAUUUUCUGCCAAAAGAAAAUAUAUGAACCAUCAUUUUUAAUUAUGUUAUUAUAUGAUAUAUUAUAACAUAUUAUUCCAUUUACAAUUUUAACCUUUUAAUUUUAAUAUAAAAUCAUUAUAAUCUAAGGUCAUUACCAUCCACCACUCAUAACUUUGGUCUAAUUUCAUUAUAAAUGCCUCCACUUAUAAAGACAACAACAAUUAAGCACUUUCACAUUUAACAACCAACUUUUCCAUUUACGUGAUUAAGUCCUUUUAUUUAAUUGGACACUCAAAUGAUAAAAUUAAAUCACGAAAAUUUCACAGAUAUUAAUUCACACAUAAUAAACACAAAAAAUAAUUUUUAAAUAUUUUUGACUCGGAUUCGUGGUCCCGAAAUCACCUUUUCGAUUAGGGUCUAAUCUGGCUGUUACAACUCUUCCCCUUAUGGAUUUUCGUCCCCAAAAAUCUUACCAGUGAAUAGGUUCGGAUAACGUUCUCUCAUUGCAUCCUCUGGCUCCCACGUUGCUUCUUCAACUCCAUGUUUAGGCCACAGUACUUUAACUAACGAAAUUUUCUUAUUUCGCAACUCUUUAAUCUCGCGAGCCAGAAUACGAAUCAGUUCUUCCUUGUACGUCAUUUCGGCUUUGAUCUCAACCCCAGCCAGACUAAUCACAUCUAAAGGAUCAGAUCGAUAUCUACAAAGCAUCAAAACAUGGAAUACAUUGUGAAUCUUUUCUAAUUCAGAUGGCAACAAUAGUCUGUAAACAACUAGCCCUAUACUCUCUUUAACCUUAUAUGACUCAAUAAACCUCGGAUUCAAUUUGCCUUUACGACCGAAUCUGAGUAUUUUCUUCCAAGGUGAAACCUUCAAGAAGACUUUAUCUCCGAUCUGAAACUCUAUAUCUUUACAUUUCAAGUCAGCUUAUGAUUUCUGACGAUCUGAUGCUGCUUUCAGACUUUUACGGAUCACUUUUACUUUCAGUUCAGUUUCUCUGAUCAAGUCGACCCCGUGUAUCUUAUUUUCACUGAGCUCAGUCCAGUACAAUGGUGUACGACAUUUACGACUAUACUAAGCGUCAUAAGGUGCCAUUUUGAUACUCGAUUGGAAGCUGUUAUUAUACGCAAACUCAAUCAGAGGUAGGUAGCGUUCCCACGUACCUUCGAACUCGAGAAUGCAACAUCUCAACAUAUCCUCAAGUAUCUGAAUGAUUCGCUCAGACUAACCAUCUAUUUAUGGGUGGAAAACAGUGCUAAAAUGUAAUUUUGUACCCAGUGCAUCUUGCAGUUUCUUCCAAAAUCGCGAUGUAAACCUCGGAUCUCUAUCCGAAACAAUAGAUAUAGGCACACCAUGUAAUCUUACAAUCUGAGAAACAUAUAAUUCAGCCAGCUUAUCAAGAGAGUAGUCUGUAUGUAUCAGAACAAAAUGAGCCGAUUUAGUUAAUCUAUCAACAAUAACCUAGAUUGCAUCUUUCUUGCUCGAUGUCAACGGUAAACCAGAUACAAAAUCCAUCGUGACUCUGUCCCACUUCCACUCAGGUAUCAUAAUCGGCUGAAGCAAUCCAAAAGGUAACUGAUGCUCGGCUUUUACUUGUUGAUAGACUAAACAUCUUACAACAAAGUCAGAAAUAUCUCGUUUCAUACCAUACCACCAAUAAAGUUGUUUCAGAUCAUUAUACAUCUUUGUAUUGCCUGGGUGAACAGAUGACCGACUGCUAUGAGAUUCAUUCAAAAUUAUUUGAAUCAAUCCUGAAUUUCUCAAAACACAUAUCCGGUUUCUGAAUCUCAAACAAUCAUCAGCAUCAACUCUGAAUUCUGAAUUAACAUCUAUCUCACACUGAGCUCGUUUUGCUAAUAAUUCAUUAUCAACCUUCUAGGCAUCACAUAUUUGUUGAACAAAUAACAGUCUUACUUUUAAUUAAGCUAUUAUCGAACCAUCAUCAGACAUGGCCAUAUGCGCAUUAUUGCAUGCAAAGCAAACAGUGAUUUUCGGCUUAAAGCAUUAACAACAACAUUAGCCUUUCUCGGGAGAUAGUCAAUCACAAGCUUGUAGUCUUUUAGUAAUUUUAACCAUCGACAUUGUCUCAAAUUCAGAUCUUUCGGAGUCAUCAAAUUUUUCAGACUUUUAUGAUUGGAAUAAACAUGACAUUUCUCACCGAACAGAUAACGACGCCAUAUCUUCAAUGCAAAUACAAUAACUGCCAAUUCUAAGUCAUGUGUUAGAUAGUCCUUUCAUGCGGCUUUAGCUAUCUCGCGGCAUAAGCUAUAACUUUGCCUUCCUGCAUCAAAACACAACCCAAACCAUUUAAAGAUGCAUCACUAUAGAUAACAAAUUCUUUACCCGAUUCUGGCUGAACUAGCACUGGAGCUUCGGUCAAAAGGGCUUUCAACUGAUCAAAGCUUUUCUAGCACUUCUCUAUCUGCUCGAACUUAACAUCUUUCUGCCAUAGCUUAGUCAUCGAGGUUGCAAUCAUAGAGAAACCUUUUACAAACCUUCUGUAAUAACUAGUAAGUCCCAGAAAACUUCGAACUUCAGAAACAUUCUUAGGAGGUUUCCAGUCAAGUAUACCUGAAAUUUUGCUCAGAUCAACCCGAAUACCCGAUGUUGAUACGACAUGGCCUAGAAAACUGACUUCACUUAACCAGAACUCACAUUUACUGAACUUGGCAUACAAUUGUUUGUCUCACAAAGUCUGUAACACAAGUCUCAAAUGUUUGGCAUGUUCAGCUUCAUCAGGAGAGUAGAUUAAAAUGUCAUCUAUAAACACAACCACAAACAGAUCUAGAUACGAUCUGAAGAUCUGAUUAUCAAAUCCAUGAAAACAGCAGGUACAUUAGUAAGUUCGAAAGGCAUAACUAAAAACUCAUAAUGUCCGUACCUCGUUCAAAAAGCAGUCUUUGGCACGUCGGAGUCUUUAACUCGCAACUGAUAGUAGCCUGAUCUCAAAUCUAUCUUUGAAAACACUGUAGCAACUUUCAGUUGAUCAAACAGAUCAUCAAUCCGUGGCAACAUAUACUUAUUCUUUAUAGUCACCUUAUUGAGCUAUCUAUAAUCAAUGCACAUUCUCGUAGUUUCAUCUUUCUUUUUCACAAACAGUACUUGUGCACCCCAAGGAGAGAAACUUGGCCGCACGGAACUUCUAUCUGUCAACUUUUGCAACCGAGCUUUCAAUUCUAUUAAUUAUAUAGGUGCCAUUCUAUACGGAGCUAUGGAUAUUGAGGUCAUCCCAGGUAUUAACUCAAUACCAAACUCUACCUCUCGAAUAGGUGGAAAACCCAGUAAUUCUUCAAGAAAGACAUCUAGAUACUCGCACACAGCAGGUACUGAUUCAAUGUUUCUUUCAGCCACUUUACUGUCAAGCACAUAUACAAAGUAAGCUUCAUAGCCUUUUCUUACAUAUUUCUAAGCUAACAUCGAAGAAAUCACUGCUGGUAACCCAUUCAUAUCAUUAGAUUCAAUCCAAAUAAUCUCAUCAUUCUGGCACCAUAAAUCAAUAGUCUUUCUCUUGCAGUUUACAACAACAUCAUGCAAAGUCAACCAUCCAUACCCAGAAUUAUGUCGAACUCAUCAAAUGGAAAAAGCAUCAAGUCAUCCGGAAAGCACGAAUCUCGAACCAUCAAGAGACAAUUUUUACACACUUUGUCAACCAUAACACACUGGCCCAAGGGGUUUGACAUUCUAAUCAUAAAGAGUAAAUGUACCAAUAAUGACAUCCGGGGAUGAAGCCUCCUCUCGUGCACGAAUAGCAUAGGCUCUAGCAGGUGCACGAGCCUCAGAUUUGACUGCUGUACCUUUAAUUCAUCUCUGACUGCUACUCGCAUUAUCCGCAUUUCUAGGUGGUCUACCUUAAGCUGCAGUAUUACCCAAUCUCGUGUUCUGCACUGGAUUUUUUUCAGCUAACCUUGGACAAUCUCGAAUAUAAUGAUCUGUCGAUCCGCAUUUAAAAUAAGCCCGAUCGUGCAAUCUGGAACUGUCGGGAUGUCAUUUACUGCAAUGCUUACACUCAGGUUGAUUAGAUUUGACAUUACCCACACUGGCUACUGAGGUAGCUCUCAAAAGCUCACAGGUGGUCUAUUCUGAUCUCGUUGAGAAUAACCCGAAGUGGCUUUUGAACGACUGAAAUCAUCUCGGAACUUAUUUGGUACCGACUGGAUUGACUUACUGAAUGAUCUCUUACGCGAGUCUCUAGCUUCAAAAUUAGCUUUUCUUUUCUCUUUCCCGAGCUUUUCAGCUUUGCAGGCUCACUGAACAAGUACGAAAAACUCUUUUAUCUCAAGUAUACCAAAUAACAGUUUAAUGUAUUCGUUCAACCUAGCUUCAAAUAUUUUACACAUUAUAGCUUCGAUAGAAACAUACUCUCGGGCAUACCGACUGAGUCUUGCAAAUUUUCACUCAUACUUUGUCACGGUCAUCCAACCUUGUUUCAGCUCUAGAAAUUCUUUUCGCUUCUGAUCAAUAAAUCUCUGGCUGAUAUAUUUCUUACGGAACUCAAUCUGAAAGAAUUCCCAGGUCACUCGCUCUCUUGGAACCACUGAUACUAGGGUAUUCCACCAGUGAUAUGUUGUGUCUCGAAGCAAAUAUAUGGCACACUUCAAACAUUCAUCUGGGGUACAGGACAGCUCAUCAAACACACGAAUAGUAUUAUCAAGCCAGAAUUCAGCCCGCUCAGUAUCAUCAUCAUCAGUAACUUUAAACUCUUCAGCCCAAUAUUUUCUGAUUUUAUCAACAUGUGGCUUAUAUAAUCUCAACGGAUCACUUACUUGAGGUACAUUAGGCAUCGAAGAUGGAUUAGUUGGGGGUGGACGUUGUUGUGCAGCCGAGUUAGUCCAGAUAUACUGAGUAAACCAAUCAUUCAUCAUUUGGUAAAAGGCUUGUCUAGCCUCUCCCUCCCGGUUACUCGAAAUCAGUCGAGAAUCAACCGGCGCUGUCCCUUGCGCUGGAGUAGGUGUUACACUCUCGACAUCAUCAGCUACAGCUUUGUCAGGAGCCAUUUACUUAAUGAAAACACAUUUUCAAAUGUCAGAAGUCAUCACACUAUCGCAGUAUAUAAUAUGGCAUGUAUAGCUAGACUCACACACGCUACGUUAGUCCUAGAACUGACUAAACCGUGGCUCUAAUACCAACAAAAUGUAAAACCCCUAACCCGUAUCUGUCGUCGGAUUAGGGUCAUGAGGUAUUACCAAUAAAAACACAAAUUUAAACGAACACAUGCAUACACUUGCAAAAUUUUAUUUAUCUUUAUUUUUUUAUUUUAAAAGAAUACAAUCAUUUCUUAACUUCAUUAAUCGAUUUAAAUAUCAAUACCACAUAACUGAAUACACUUUUGAUUCAACUUAUAAUACGUGCAUAUAUUCAGAUUUCAUUACACUUUAGUUGCAUACUAAAAAUCAUACUCAAAUAAAACACCCAAAAUCUACUACAUAUAAUUAUUUAAUAAAAAUCAUAUUAUAUUUAUCUUUCAUUUACUAUCAAGUUGGACAUUUAUACAACACAUGAUAUACAUGCUAUUUUCAUAAUUUAUCAUUGAUCAAGUCAAUAUUCAUUUGAUCAUUCUUCCAUGCAUUUAGUCGAAAAAAAGUUUGUUUUGAAAACAACUCACUUACAACUUAUCUCAAUCAUUUUACAAGUUUAUACACUUCAAAUGUUUAAAUUAUUAUACAUAAAAUAUAACAUAGUUUUUCCAAUAUUUUAUACACCGCAACCUAAUACAUACAUACUAUAAUUACCUAAUUUUUUAAUCACAUUUACCGAACCCUAAUAAUAUAAAUUAAUAAUUCCAAACAAUAUAUCCAACUUAUCACUACUUAUUCAGUACAUUACCUAACUAUCACAAUCGAAUUUGAGCAUCUAAAACCCACUCAAAAACAUGCAUGUAAUCAUGAUUCAACUAAGUUGAAUGAAAAUACUUAUUAACUAAAGAAGAUUAUUUUUAUCAUUACAAGACAUUAACUACAUACAAAUAUAUCCAAAACAUAAAUAUUACCUACCAUAUGUCAAACAUGACAAGUCAAAUUAUCAUAUGCAUAAGUAUUUGUAUAAGCAAUGCCGAAUCACAAAUUAAUCAUUAUCAUUUUAUUCCAUCCCACCUUAUAACCGAAUAUAUAUACCAUUUCAUUAUUGAAAUAGUUUUCCUACCAAUUCAUAUUUGUUUUACCUAUACCAAAACCUUGGCCGAAGCAAUUAAACAUGCUAUGCAAAUAUGUACACACAAUGUUCAUUACAUCAACCAUUUUCAAAACAUAUAACAUUUAACACAUAUACCAUGCAUAUCAUGGCAUGCAACAUUAUAGCUGGAACAGAUUAAACCAUAACCAAAACAUAACUAAAACCAAACUUAGGAAUUAAGCAUUUUCGCAUGGCUUUAGAUUUACAUAGCCAAUAUUCCACAUUUCUAAAGUAUGUUCCAGCCUAUACAUGCCAUAGUACCAAAAUGCAACUUAUUAAAUACCGAAGACAGUCAAUAGUGUGAUAGACUUUACUGACAAAUAUUCACACAAUAAGCUAUUAUAGCUUAGUAAGUCAUAAGCAAAUAAACCAAUCAAAGCAUUUAAAACAAACCAAAUUAUAACAUUAUUAUUAUACCUGGUCUCAAACAUAUCAUUUAAUUUAUUUAUAACUUAUACUUUCACACAAAUAAGUUACUUGGGCCGAAUUCUCAUAUAUCUUAUUUAGCAUAAUAUCAUUCAACUUUUAAAUUCAAAUGACAUUAUACCAAAUAUUCUUACAUUCAUAUACACAAACUCAUGAGUCGAAUCUUGACAUCAUAUAUAUGCACUUAUAUUUAUAUAUAUAUGUAGCUGAACAUACGUUUCAUAUUUACUCACAUUCUUCACUUACAUCUUACAUGACUUGUAAUAAAUAUCAAGAAACUUACUUAACUUGUUUCAAUUAAGCAAUAAGCUAAAUUCAUACCUAGUCGUUUUAGCUCAUUUCACACAUCUGUACACGAUUAACCUUGGCCCGAUAAACCAUUCAGAAUUGGGUAGGACACUCGGAUAAUCACACAUUUAUCGUACAGUGCCAACGUCUCAGUCGUGGUCUUACAUGUAACCACAUAUCGAUGCCACUGUCCCAGAUACUCGCACACAUAUAUCAGAGUCACAUAUCGAUGCCGUGGUCUUACUCGUACAGAUAUAUCGGAAUCCUAUGUAAGGUUCAUACGGGACUUUCGGACGUCGUAACUCGGUCGAAAUGAAAUUGAAAAUGUGGUAGCCAAGUUUGCUCAUAUUCGUCCAUAGCAUAUAUAAAUUCAAGCAUUUAACUACAAUUAAGUACGUCUAUUUGCUUAUAAUCUUACCUCGGACAAUGUAAAACAGAACAGGGCAGCUAGUCGACAAUUUUUGUUUUCCCUUGAUCCAAAUCCAAUUUCUUUGGUUCUUGAUAUAAACAUAUUCAAAUUAAGCUCAUUCAAACAUAUUUUCAUUCAAUUUAGUCCAAAAACACAUAAAUGAAAAAAUUAUCAUUUUACCCCUGACAUUUACAAUUUUUACAAUUUAGUUUCUAUUGCUCAAAACACAAAAUACACAAAAAUUCUCCAUACCCAAGCUAGGCCGAAUAUUAACCAUAACCAUACAAACCCAUAUAAUUCAUUUAUUUCAUAUUUUAGUCCCUCAAAUUAUUAUUUUUGCAAUUUAAUCCUAAUUACUCAAAAUCAUCAAAAACUCCAAUACAAAACAUGUUGAUCUAAAACAUAUCUUUCAUAAUUCAUCAUCAAACAACAAAAAUCACAAGCUCUCAACAAUGGCACAACUCAAAAUAUUCAUCAAAAUAAAAAAAUAAAGCAUGGGUUUUGUAGUACUCUGAUAAACAUGUUAAUUUGCAUAUUUUUGUGUUUAAUUUGGUUUAUUGUUGAAUUGAACCUUGCUAAUUAAGUGCUUUUUAUGGUUUAAUCUUUUUAGGGAUGCAAUUGGUCAAAAACGAGCAAAAAUGGGCUAAAUUGAAAGAUAAAUCAUUGAAUUAGGGCUAAAUCAAAAGGAUGGAGAAAGCCAAUGAUUUAUCAUAUAUUUUGACUUUGUAAAAAGCUAAAAAUAGGAAGAUAUUUUUAUUUUAUUUUAUUUUAUUAAUUUAGGUUAGGCUAUUUUUAGUAAACCCCAUGUAUAUAAAUAGAGGCUUUUAGUUCUUAGGAAAUCAUCUCUUGUUUUACAUUCCUAUUUCAAUUUGGAAUUGAAUUACUCUCUCUCUUGUAUUUCCUUCUUCAAUUUGGAAUUGGAAUAUCUUUUUUUUUCUCUUCAAUUUGACGUUACAUUCUGUAGCCUUUUCUCCAAUUUUUGCUUCUUUUCCAUAAUUGGGCCAAUUGCUCUCCAAGUCCUUUCCAUUCAUUUCUUCAUGAUAAUCAUCAAACUUCUUUGCAAGCUCACAAAGCAUGAACAAUUUCAUGCUUAGCUAAAUUCUAUCUUAGCUUUAGUUCGGUGUUCAUUUUGGUCGAUAAUUGUGAGAUUGGUACUCGCACCUAAAAUCCUUUCAAUCAGUAUUCACCUUUUUCCUAAGCAUCGGGGUUGACAACUCAUCCUUUAAGGAUAAUUCGAUUUCAAGUCAAAAAAAGCUCGUUGGGUUGGAGUCGUGUUUUUUGACAGUUGGAGAAAUGAAUUGGCUGUGCUGUAUUUGGAUCUCCGAGAACAAAUCAAGGAAGAGGUGAUCGGGUUUAAACGACCCACGCGGUUGAGGCCGUUAAUUCGAGUUGGGUUCUUCAGAACGCAAGGCUACUGAAAUCUUGAAUCGGGAACAUGUGUAUCUCGGUUAGACUGUCGGUAAGGGUUAGUUUGCAGGACGUACCGGGACCAGCUACGAGAGGAAGAAUUAAUGGUUAGGACGUUCUUAAUCAUUAUAACCAGCUUAUUGUUUGAAGGAGAAGAUCAAUUUUCAAGGAUCGAUUCUCAACACAGGAUUUACCGAGUCUAAGGCUAAGGCUUAUUACAUUUGAUUGCAAAUCCCAAUUAAAUUUCUGAUUUAUUUAAUUAUUUAUCUUAGCAGUUAUUUCUGAUUUAUUUAAUUAUUUAUCUUAGCAGUUUUAAUUAUUUAGUUUCUAAUAAAUUUCAAAAUCCCCGCUUUAUUUAUUUGCUUAUUUUGCAGCUAGUACGUUUUGAGUUGUGGGCACGACUCUAGCCACGACCCUUGACACGACAUUCUGUUUAUAAGUUAAACGCGAAAGUUGAUUAGAGUACCAAUCCCUGUGGACUCGACCCUACUACCACUCUUACUACUAUUGUAUUUAGUAGGAAUUAUUUUUUGGUGGAUUCGACGCCCAUCAUACUCGAAGCAACAGUCUCAAAAACGUAAAAAUUAUCAAAAACCGAGCUAAACUCAUACCUUAAUCAAGCUUGAAUGUAACUGAAACCCUAGAUUUUUUUUCUUUUUCUUUCUUGCUGAAGUUUCAGCCAAAAGAAAAUAUAUGAACCAUGGUUUUUAAUUAUGUUAUUAUAUGAUAUAUUAUAACAUAUUAUUCCAUUUACAAUUUUAACCUUUUAAUUUUAAUAUAAAAUCAUUAUAAUCUAAGGUCAUUACCUUCCACCACUCAUAAAUUUGGUCUAAUUGCAUUAUAAAUGCCUCCACUUAUAAAGACAACAAUAAUUAAGCACUUUCAUAUUUAACCACCAACUUUUCCUUUUAUGCGAUUAAGUCCUUUUAUUUAAUUGGACACUCAAACAAUAAAAUUAAAUCAUGAAAAUUUCACAGAUAUUAAUUCACACAUAAUGAAAAUAGAAAAUAAUUUUUAAAUAUUUUUCUGAAUCGAAUUCGUGGUCCCGAAACCACUAUUUCAAUUAGGGUCUAAAUCGGGCUGUUACAUUUCCCGUAUAAUUUCACUUCAUUCUCACCUAUUGUUCAAAUACAUUAGUUCAUUCAGAAGUUUUUCCAUGCUUAAAGAAUUUGCACACUUAGUGCAUCCAUGAUUUGCCAAAACUGUAACAAUCCCGCACAGUUAGUGCCAUUUCAAUAAACUGAAGCUAUCUUGGUAUCGCACACUUAGUGCCACAUAUAGCCGAAGCUAUUCCAACACGCACACUUAGUGUCAUUUGUAGCCAAAGUUAUUUCGAGUCGCACACUUAGUGCCGAACAUAAUCGAUUAUCAUCAUGCUCAAACCAUAAUCAAAUAGCUAUACAAUUUAUGCAUUAUCAAAGUAUUAAAACAUAACUAUAACAUCAUUUAUCACGUACGAACUUACCUCGUACUCGAAAUUGACAAUUCGGAUCGUUUACUCGUCAAUCUUCGAUUUUCCCCAAUCUAAAUCUGAAUUCCUCUUUUCUUGAUCUAUAUGUAUUCAAAAUUAACUCUUUUAAUCACCAACACAUUCAAUUCAAUCCAUAUAUACAUAUUUAGGGCAUUUUACAAAUUAGCCCUCACAUUUUCACAUUUUAAAACUUUAAUCCCUAAUUCAUAAAAUCACAAAUUACUCAAAAUUUCCUUAUACACUUGCCUAGCUAAAUUUUACCUUAGUUCAUAUAAGCCCACAGAUUUCAUUUAUUUCACAUUUUUGUCCUUAAUAUGCAUUUUUACUGAAAAUCACUUUACAAAACAUGUAUAUCAAGUACUAAGCUUUCAUAUUUCAUCAUUUAACAUAACAAAACUCAUGAAUUCAUCAAUGGAAUCUCAUCAAAUUAUCAAUAAUUUCAUGAAUUUAAGCAUGGGCUAGUUAGAACACUUAACAAUGAUCACAAAAACGUAAAAAUUAUCAAAAAUCGAGCUCGAAUGCUUACCUAAUUGAACUUAAAUAUGGCCGAACCCUAGUUGAGCUUUAACCUUUCGUUUUCUUUGAUAUUUUCAACAAGAAUAAGAUGAACACAUUUAUCUUUUACUUUAUUUUAUUUUAAUUAUAACUUAAUACAUAAGUUACAAAAUUAACCUUAGCUAUUUCAUUAAAAUUCCACUAACAAUUGUCCAUACUUGUCCAUUCAUUAAACCAAUGGUCCAUUUGCAUCAUAAGGACCUUUAAUUUAAAGAGACAUAGCAAUUAAACACUUUAACAAUUAAUUAGUCACUUUUACAUUUUAUGUGAUUAAGUCCUUUUUGCAAAUUAAGCGCACAAAUGAUAAAAUCUUCAUACAAAACUUUCACACAUGCUAAUUCACAUAUUAUAAACAUAAAAAAUAAUAUUAAAAUAAUUUUCCAACCUCAAAUUUAUGGUCCUAAAACCACUAUUCCGAGUAAGGUCUAAACCAGGCUGUUACAAGUGGAUCAUCAAAAUUUUAUUGCCCUCACUACCAAUGUAAAAGAUGAUUUUAAAAAGGAACUUGAUACGGGGAGUGACGAGGAUUUUCUAAAGACUUACAAAGACAUGUUGGGAAAAUAGAGCAUGGUGUGUGAGGCCAACACACAAUUGUUUCAAGAAAUCAAGCUAGUGAAAGAUGAGAAUGCCAGAUUAAUCAAAUAGAUUACAACUAAAAAAGCUCUUCUUGCAGAAGAACUUGAAAAUUUCGUGAAAGUCAAGAAGGAACUGGUUGGAACUAAAUUGAUGCUUGAAAAGUUUGCAAGAAGCAACAGUAAGCUUAAUGAUAUGUUAGGAGCUAGUAAAAAAGAUAGAGGUAGAGGGGGCUUAGGAUUUGUAGAUCAAGGGAAAGUUGUAGAGGAACAAGUUAUUGUGUCCAUUAAGUCUUCAAAAGAAAAUAGAGAAAGUUCAAAGAUUGUAAUUGUCAAGCUUAUAAAAAUUAUUAGACAUCCUCAUAUGGUAAGUUUCCAUUAUUGCGGCGCUCCUAGUCACAUAAGGUCAUGUUGUUUCAAAAUGCUUCAUGAUCUGAUAUGGAAGAAUUUAGUGCCUAGGGUACUGCCCACUUUCUGUGGCACUACAACUAGAAAAGUGUAGAAACAAAAUUGGGUAAAGAAAGAAGUCAAAUGUUUGCUAGUUGCUUAUCGAUAUUUAAAGUAUACUAUAGAUGGGAUUUGGUAUUUUGAUAAUGGUUGUUCUCAACAAAUCUAGUGAUAGCCAACUUUGUGACCAAGGUAUGUUGGUUAAAUUUACUAAAAAUAAAUGCAUUGUCAUGAAUAAAAUUGAUGAAUUGAUCAUGGAAGGAGGUUGAACCUUUGAUAAUUGUUAUAAAACCAUGACUAAAAUAGGCUGCAAUAGUGCUAGAACAUCAUGUUUAGAGCUAUGGCAUGAUAAGCUUGGUCACAUCCAUUUUGAGGGAAUAAAUGUAACACCCCUUACCCAUAUCCGUCAUUGGAACAGGGUACGAGGCAUUAUUGGAGCUUAUCGAAUCAUUAUUAAUUAGGAGAAAAAGUAAAACAAAGUAAACAUGUAAUAUUUAAUAAAUUCAUAUAACAUUGUAAUUAACUUACCGCUUCUCUAUAUUCAAUAUAAUUAUGCAAAGCAUAAUUAUUCGAAUUGAUCAUGAGCCCUAAAAUUUAUUCUUAUCACAUUGUUAGUCAUAUAAUUCAUAUAAAUAUCAAGAAACAUGUAUGGGCUUAACUUUCAUUAAAUUUCUCAUAUGCAUAUACUUUUACACAUAAUUUAUUCACAUGAUUUAUAAUAAUCAUAUCUAUGUAUUUUAAAUAAGCUUUCAUAACAAUUUGUCUUGAUUUCAGACCAUCUCACAUUGGAGCUUUACUCAUCAAAUCAUUUGAAAUACUAUUUUUAUACAAAUAGUACACUUGAGUUGCACAAUUCUAUAAUUAUGAACGAACACAAUUAUAAAAUAUAUUCCAUGUUCAUAUAUCAUAGUCUCAUGUCUCCAUAUAUCAAAUAUAUAACCAUCAUUUUCUUGUGUUUCAGAUAAAUACAUAUAACCAUACAUAAGCAUGCCAUUCACUAUUUCUUUCUGUCUAUGUAACACCCCAAACCCGGCCCAGACGUUACGACUGAAUCCGGCGUGUCACAUUGAAGUGUUUUUCGAAAACCAUGUUUUCAUUGAAAACCCUUCUUGAUGUUUAGAAACUUUUACCGUUUAAACUUGAAUAAAACCUUAGCCUUAUUUUUUUUCCCAAAAUGUGAUUCAUUGUAAUAAUCAAAGCAUUGUUAACAACCUUGUAAAAUCUUAUGGGAAACUUUGAAAACUUGUAAACCUUUGUAGUGGCAGAAACAUGUUAUUUUAAAAAAACAGUUAAGUAUCGAAAAAAAUCAAACCUUCUUUGUCAUGGCUUAAAGUGAAUGGAUACUACGUACCAGGUAGGAUUCAAGAAAGGAGGAGGUGAGUCAAUUAGACUGCUUAAGUACCUAGCUCUUCCAUGAUCCAAUCCUAGACAUGCACACAUCCAUUGCCACACUUUAAGCCUAUUACUUAUCCACGAACAAUAAAUUAAGUUUAAGUCUAUUUAAAAUAUUUAUUUCCUUUGAAAACAUUUACGUUGCGGAAGCUUUGCUCGGACCCCAUGCAACAGAUAUACAUGUCAUGACAUACAACAAACAUAAUCAGAAUAUCAUGCAUUUCAGUCAAAAUUAACCCCAGGGGUAUGACGGUCAUUUUGCACCUAGGGGUAAAAUGAUAAUUUUCCUACUUAAGGGUAUUCUAGUAAUUUAAAUAUUUUAGGGUUUACAUACAUAUUCUAACCAUUAACACAUUAACAGAAGCACUUACCGGCGUUUUUACCGAAUUGGGGCCGUUGACCCACUAACCCGUUUUCGGCCCAUUAAGCCCAAAUAUACCGAAGUGCACGAAAUUGCACACUCUACAAUCAUACUGCUUGCAAUUACCAAAAUUAACAACCAAACCACCUCGCAAGCGCUCGCACGCUCGCAAGUUCACAAAUGCCGGCUUUUCGGCUUUUGCCGAUCUAGUCUAUGAGUGGGUGUCGUUUACACACCUGUUUGUGACGAAACGCUGACGAGUUCCACACACGAACUGCCUACAAUCAAUUACUAAUACGUUAACUAUGAAUCCAUAGCAACUUAUCUGCAAAACUCCUUACUAAAAAUUGACCAUUAACACUUUAGGCACUAGUGUUCUUACCUUUGCCGAAAAAAUGGACUAGAUCUAACUCUGGUCGUUCCAAAUAUCCAAGCCCUCGAUUAGUAGCCUUUAAUCCACACUAUAGGAAAACAAAUCAGAUGUCACCACUAAACCCUUUAAGUACAACCAACAGGCACCCUUUGCAUAUAGGGGUUUUUUGGCUUUUACCUUAAUUCAUGAAUAACAAAAGAAAGAUUCGAGCGUUUACCUAUAUCGUUAUGACACUACUCCCAAUCGAUUGUAGAUCCAACUACCGCACAAGAAGGGAAAAUACUCAACCAAGGGUUCGGCCUUUGCAGUACCUCAAAGUAGUAAUAUUUCGAUUUUGGAAGAAAAGAUACGAGGUUUGGCUUCAAUGGAAAUUCGGCUAACCAGUUUUUUUUUUUGAGGAUUUAUGAGAGAAAAGAAGAAGAAGAAUAUGAAGGCUUUAGGUUCAGCAAAAAGAUAGGAUGAGAAUCGACAAGAGGAGAAAGAAGAGAGAAAAGGGGAAGAGAUGAGAGAAGGAUAGAAAAGAAUAGAAAAUAGAAGAAGGAAAAAAAAUAAAUCCUAAAGGCCUAAAAUAUUCGGCAUUCUUUAGCUAUGGCCGAAUGAGUGCAUUUCGGCAUAGAAAUUCUUUUUUAAAUUCCAAUUCCCUAAUUUGCUCCUUGAUUUUUGGCCAAAUUUGAAGUUUGAAUUUCAUUCAAACUCCCCAACCGAUCAGCAGCCUUAUCCACCUGCUUGCACCGCUUCUGCAUGCUGCCAAGAGUCCUGGUCAGACCCCAAUUCCUCCCCACGCAUGCAGCAAAAAUCCAAACCUUGCGUGCACGAACUGCAGCUCCAACCCCAGACCUCCGUCCGCCUUACGCCCACACCUGUGCUACUGGCCACUGUACCAUGCUUUCUUCCUUGCUAGUGUAUGGUCACAAUUAAUUAUAAACCUUACCUGCUUCAGUUCUGACCCACUUUAAAAAAUUAAAUAAAAUUUGCCUGCAUACAAACUCGAACCUGCGCCCUCUCUAUAUGCCCAGAACGCUACAACCACUGAGCCACAGGCGCUUCUUGUGACAUAGCUCGGUCGCAAUUAUUCUUAAACCUUACUUUAGUGCGAUCUGGCUUAUUAAAAUAAAAACAAGCCUUUGCGUGUGCCAACCCUCGAACCUAGGCACUAUACCACACUCCCAGCGCCUCUGCCACUGGGCCAAGCUUCCCUUUUGUGUUACCUUUUAACCCCAAUUGUAUAUAACACUUCCCUGCGUCGUUCCCUGAUAUAAAGAAAAAAUAAAACUCUUUUGCACAUGUUGGGAGUCAAACCCCAACUCUCCUUCCCACUACCUAGCAUGCUUAGCCACUAGGCCAAAUGCUCUUUUAUGCUAAAACUCAGCCCAAAUUAUUAAUAAAGCCUACUACCCAGAUUCCCUUAAGAGGCAAAAUUUAAAAUUUUGCUAAAGUUAUGGGCUAAGCCCCGGACUUUGUCCAAUACUAUAAGCCCUUCAUAUUUUAUUUAAAAACUAAAAUAAUAAUAAUAACCAUAAUAAUGAAAAUUUCAAAUACGAUAAUAUAUAUAUAUUUUCUAAUAAUAAUAAUUUUAUCUCUUAAUACUAAUUAAAAUUUCAUAAAAAUUUAAAAUAUUCGUAAUAAUAAAUAUAGUAAAAAUUUUCUAGUAGUAAUUUAAUUCAAAAUUUUUUUCUUAAACGAUAAUAUUUAAAACUUAUUAAUUAUUUAAGUUUUCUUUUAUCCGAAUCCCAGACUCAAAGCCCAACUCUUCUAGGCCCAAUUUUUUUGGGACGUUACAGUCUAUCACAAUUUCAAAUAACAGAUUCAUGUGAAUGAGCCCAACAAUAACCAUGAAAAUACUUACCACAUUCUUUCACACAUAUUCCACUUAUAACAUUUUUUUUUAUAUAUUUGGCUUGACAUUUACUAAGCAAUAUUGGAUAUUCAUUUAUUAGGCAAUAUCAAAUAUUCAAAUUAUUCUUUAACAUAUAUAACAUUUAAUUCAAACAUGAAUUUAUAACAUUUUUUAUUUUAACAAAGUUUAACAUUUACCAAAUAUAAUCGAACAUGUGAUCAAUUGCAUAAGUUACUUACAUAUUUUCCUCCUCCUCCUCUCCAUUCCACAUAUAUAACACACUUGUAAGUAACAUUAUCUAUAAUUUUUACUAUUUAUUUAUAUGAAUAUUCACGCUGUCCAUUUAUGUGAUAGUCACUAAAUUAUUUUUAUCUUGAGCUAUAGAACUCCAAAUUAAGAUAUGCUAAUUUUUCCUGAAACUAGACUCACAUAUCUUCUAAUCAUAAAAUUUUCAGAAUUUUUGGUUUAACCAAUUAGUACAUUUUAUUCUUUAAAUUCACCAUUAUUCUACUGUUUGACAAUUCCGACCAUUCUUCACUAAAAAUUAAUUAUCUCCUCGUAUGGGAUUUGAAUAAUGUUCUUGUUUAUUUCUCUUGAAAAUAUACUCAUUCAAGAUUCUAAAAAUAUAAAUUUAAUCCCCUAAUUAUUUUCAAUUUUUUAUUAUUUUCCAAAGUCAAAAUAGGGGAACCCAAAAUCAUUCUGACCUUGUCUCAUAAAAUUUAUUAUAUCUCAUGAUUUACAAUUCCAUUGCUUUCAUAGUUUUUCUAUAAGAAACUAGACUCAAUAAGAUUUAAUUUCAUAUUUUAUUUAUCAAAUAAUUCGAUUUAAAUUUUUUUUUGUGAUUUUUCAAAGUUAGACUACUGCUGCUGUCUAAAACAGUUUUAAUACAAAAUGUUGAUUUUCAUUUUACCCCAAAUUUCACAGUUCAUACAAUUCAGUCUUUGCUCAAUUAAUCCCUCAAUUGAGCUAAUUUUUCUCAAUUAAUACUUUAGUCUAUCAUUUUAAACUACUUCAUAACCCCUAAAAAUCAGAACUUUAGCACUAGACCUUAAUUACAAACUCUUUCAUAAUUAGGUCCUAAAAUCAAUUUCCAUCAAUUUUACUUGAUAAAAUCAUCAUACAUCAAAAUUAAAGCUUCAAUUCUAUAUUUAUUUAUCAUAUUAUUCCAGCACUCAUCCAUAGAAACUUUAAAAAUUAGCCAUGGAAUCAAAAACUAAUGACAUAGUAAGUUGGACCCAAUUGUAAAAGUCCAAAAUCUUAGAAAUUUCAAGGAGAAAGCAAGAAUUAAACUUACAUGAAGCUAGAGUAUGAAAACCAGCUUGAACCCUCUUCCAUGAAGAGAAUUCUAGAUAUUCCAUUCUAGUCCUUUUUUUAUUUAGUAAAUUUUGUUAUUUUCCCAUUUUGCCCUUAUUUCCUCAAUUUUCCUGAUUUUUCUCUGCUUGUGCCGCCCAAAGUAUCUCCUUUAGGCUUAUUUGCACUUUGGGUCCUUGCUCAUUUGACAAUUGAGCUAUUUAAUCCUUCUAGCAACUUUUACACCUUUUUCAAUUUACUCCUUUUUAUUUAAUUAAUCACCCAAACGUCAAAAUUUUCUAACGAAAUUUUAAUACUACCUUAUUGACACUCCGUAAAUAUUUAUAAAAAUAUUUAUGGCUUGGUUUAUAACACUAUUUUUUUUCUUAAUUUCUUGACCAAAUAAAUCUUUAUAAAACACAAUUUACUAUUUCAAAAAUCUUUUAAAAGCUACAUUUGGCUCAUAAAUAUUAAAUAAUAUAAUUUACGAGUUUAUUUUUUAGAUUUGGUGGUCUCAAACCACUAUUUCCGACAUCGUUGAAAUUUGGGCUAUUACAACUCUUCCCCCUUUUAGAAUUUUCAUCCUCGAAAAUUCCUUCGGUGGAGAGGUUCAAAUAUUUUUCACUAACUAAUAGUAUCACCAAUUUUCAAAGUUGAAACAUUAACUGCCACUUUUAACUCAUAUAUCAGGUAAUUUUUUUUCAUACGAUUUUUAAUUGUUUUAAAGUGUAGACUAUUACUUUGUCUUACUGCAUUAAAACACAGUUUACCCACUCAAUGAUAUAUCACUGUAAAUCACAACUUUCUUACCCUAUUUAGGCUGAACCAAAACUAAUGCUUCGAUCAACAGAGCUUUUAUCUGGUCAAAAUUUUGCUAACAUUUAUUAAACCAUUCAAAUCUUACAUCUUUCUGUAAUAACUGUAUCAUCAGUAUAGCUAUCAAUUAUUAACACUGAAGCUUUAAAUUUUCCGAAGUUGUAACCAUCAUACCAAUUGAAACCAUAGUACCAUAAUAAGGUCAGCGUCUCAACCUUAGAAAUAAAAUAAUACUUCAAUAUCAAUAGUACUUCCCAAACAGAAAAGAAAAGACUAAAAAUAGUCCCAAUAACAACCAAUGCAAUAACAUGAUAUCCACAAUCUAUGAUUCAUAUUACUAAACUUCCAUAUUCGAAUCAGGAGUUAUAACAGUAAAUGUAAUGGUCUCCGACUAAUAAAUAUCUUUCUCAAAUAUAUAUAUUUUAUUAUAUUUACAAUUCAGAGCUUCAAUCAAUAGAAGAAGAAAACAGCAUCAUAUGAAUCUUUUUAUCAAAUCUUCCCUCAAGUAUAAUUUAUUAGAAAACCAGAGAAAAGAUAAGCAGUACCGCUCAUAUUUUAAUCAGACUUUCAACAAUUCCAUUUAACAUCAUGAUUAGCCAACCUUUCUAUAAAAUAGUAAUCACAUUUGAAAAUGAACAAUUACACAGAUUUAUAUAUAUAUACAAAUCAUGUAGAAUACCCAGAAAAGAUCGUUGUAAGAUAUAUAAUUAUAACAGUUGCAGUCAGAUAUCUUUUCCAUUUUACCACUGUGCAACCGACUACUAAAAUCAUUGAUAAUUUUACAUUAUACAACUCACUAAAAGAACUAAUUUAGAAGAAAUUUCCAGUAAAUUCUUUUUGUAGAUACCAUACCUGAAUAAAUCGAUUACUCAUGAAUAACUUCUUUCUUAACAGUAACAUUGCGUAUUUUGAAUAAUCCUCAGAAAAAUUGUCUGAUAUCUCAGUCAUAAUCAUUUUUACUUACUAGUCCAUUCUCUAUCCUUUCAUUUCACAAUUUAUUUUUAAUUCAAUCUUUUAAACACAAACCAAAGAUAAUACUUUACCUUGUAACGAAAAUUGUUUACCUUUUUAACAGAGGCCUACUAGACUAAACAGAACACUUAGAAUAUACAGAACUGAUAUAGAGGCGCAUUAUUAUGCACUAUUAAAUAGAGAGCACUAAAGUGUUAUACAGAUAGCACAGAUGUGCUAAACGGAGAGCACAAAUGUGCUAAUAAUAAAAAAGCGCGCUAGAGUUCCUUAAUGGCAUGCCACUAAUAUUCUAGUAGAUCUAAAUUUCGUCUACUUGAGCAUUAAAAUUGAAUUUCAUACAUUUAAAUACUUUACAAUUUAAUCAUUGUACCAAUAAUCCGUAUGUUUAUAUAUUCUCUAUCUUUAAUACAUGUAAUAUAUUUCAAAAUUCACUAGUCUCGUAAUUUACUAAUAAUUCUUAUCAUGUACUUCAUAUAUCACUAUCCAAUUCCAAUUUCACUUUCAAUUCAUUCGCAACUCAAUUUAAUUUCACUUUCUUAUCAAUAUACAAUUCAAUACUAAUAUUUAUCCAUCACUCAGUUCAAUUUCCAUUCAAUUCAACAAUAACACUUACCUCAUACUUCACUUACCAUGCCCAUAAUUUAAAUUUAACAUUUAAUAAUAAAUAAUUUGAAUUAUAGUAAUACAAUCGUAUGCUGGGUAUGUCUAUACUCAGUGGUAUUACCAUAAUUCAAAUUAUAAAAACUAUAAUAAAUAAUAGACAUCAAACAUGUAAAAUUAUAAGUCAUAUGUGCUAAUUUAUAUUUAAAUUCAUAUCUCAACAAUAGUCUUCCAUCAAAGGGCAUCACAUAUCAUCUAUAUUAUCUUUAAUCAAUUCAUGAACCUUUGGUUUAAGCCUUCAAUCUCAUAUCUCAAUUUCAAUUCAAUUUCAAUUCAUAAUUCCACUUUUUCAUACUUUCAAUAGUUCAAUCGAUCAAAUUCAUUCGAUUUUCUCAUUUCAUUUAUUCAACCCUAUUAACAUAACUCGGAGUUAGACGGAUACACGGAUCCAACCAAAGACACCAGUACGGCACAUUGUACCUAAAACGGUACAUAGUACCUGAUCAGUAUACGACACAUAAGUGUCUGAAACGACACAUAAGUGUCUGAAACGACACAUAAAGUGCCUAAUAUACAACACAUAAAGUGCUUGAUCGACAAAGCCGAUAUAUCCCGUACUCUUCCAAAUCCUAUGGCAUGCCAAUUAUAUCCGACUAGCCCGACAAGUUAAUAAGGAAUUCAAUUCUCAUUUCAAUUUCACUUAAUAUUCAUAUUUACCCCUAUUAACAAGACUCGGACUUAGGCGGAUACACAGAUCCAACCAACACACCAGUACGACACUCAGUGCCUCAUCGGCUUUGCCGAAGUAAAACAGUAAUAGUACGGUACUCAGUACCUCAUCGGAUUAAACCGAAGUAACAGUAGCAAUACGACACACAUGGUGCCUCAUCGGCUCGAAGUCGAAGUUAAUAAUCAAAUAUAAUUCCUUAUUUCAAUCAAUUUCACUAUAUUGCAGUAAUUCAUUACUUCAGUAAUUUCACAGUUCAAUGCAGUAUACAUAAUAAUAUUCAGUAACUUCACAAUUCAAUUUAGUACUCAAAACAAUAUUCAGUAUUCUAUAAUUCAGUUCAGUAUCAGUCUCAUUUCAGUGCCCAAUCAUAAAUUUAUCAUUUUACUAAACACUUACCUUAAAAUACUUACCACACAUAAUUAGUAAAUUAAACACAUAAUAAUGAUAAAGUUUGAUAUGAGGCAUUUUGAGGCAUUUCCAAACUUACAGGAACCAUUUGUUGGAAAAAAUCUAGCUCAAAAAAGGGUUUUCUUACACAAUGGAAAAAUAAAAAUUUGAAUAUCGAGCUGAUUUAUGAUAUUAAUAGUAACAAACUUUUUUCCGAAAUUACACCUGUGUUUUGGGCUAGACCGAUCCUAGACGUUCCUGGCUUUCAACCGAAUGACCUUUGCUGCUAUUCUUGUACCACGAACUGCUUUGAGUGUAGGCUCGAAUACUUUCGAAUCAAACACAUAUCCAAAAAUUAUUUUCUUUACUUUCAGUGGGAAAGUAAAACUAUCUCUAUUAUAGAAAUUGGUAUUAAUUAUUAUUGCCAAAAAAUAUAAUUUAUACUUAAAACUAAAUUCUCUCUAUUUUUAGGCAAAAUAACAAUAUCUCAAAGUUAUGUAAAACUUAUUAUGUUUUUAUAGGGAGAGGAAGUGAAACACUAGUUGAAUUAGUAGAAUACAUUUAAUGCCUAUUUAAUAGAAAAAUAAUCCUCUAGUUGAAAUAAGAGAGAGAGGGGCGACAACCUUAGUUAAAAUACUAGGGUUUGUCGUCCCUUUGUAUUCAAUAUGAUGGGCUUUGAGUCUUUCCUGUAUUGAGUCUAGUUAUAAGUGCUUCUUGGAAAUUUAACCCAAACUUUAUAAUUCAAUCCAACCCAAUAUAUUAUUUUCUAUUUCCCAAAAUAAAUAUUAUGAAUUAAUUUUAAUUAAUUAAUUUUCUAAUUAAAUAAUUUUCUCAACCCGAUUUUGAUUCCGUUAAAAUCAUGACAACUUAACCUUAAAAGAAUCUAUGAGAAAAUAUAUUUAAUAUUUCUACAUUUAACGGAUUCAAAAUGACCAAUUAAUCUAAUUUCAUUUUCGAACUUAAAAUAUUUAAUUAGUUAUGAAUCAAUUGAAAAAUCAUAAAUUAAUUCUCAGGUCAUUCCCAUACUUAGUGAGAAAACCUGAUUCAUUUCUAAAUGUUACCCAUUUCUCUAACUUUAUCAUUUCUAUCUAUUUCUGUUCAUUUGAUUUAACAUGCAAUUCAUUUUUGGUUUCAAGAAGCUAACGGAGGGACCAAUUGGACAUAUGUGAUUAGGGCUCAAAUGAUUUAAAAUUAAGUUCUAGCUUUUUGCAUAUUAAUUAUAAACUUAUUUAGUCACGAAGUUAUUCCACAAUGGUAUCAUGACUGAGCUCUUCCUAAUUACAUACCAUUACAAAAUCUACUCGAUUGGUUCUCGUCCAAUGACCUUGUCAUAAGUGUGUUACCCUCAUAGGAUAUCCAUAAUCUCUUUAGGAUAAAUAUGUUCUCUCAAUAUGAUCUUAUUUUAUCUCAUGAUAACUAUUACAUCUUCCUUCAUGAAAUGUCAAUUACUACUAUAUAGUAAUUAAGUCGUUUAUCACAAAGACAAAGGACUCAUGACCAUGUUUACUUUUCAUCUAUCAUGUAAUGCCAAUGAGAGGAUAUCAUUUACCCAUGUUUUAGGCUAUAAAUUCCACUAUUUUGAAUUGUGCUACAUAUUGCAGAAGUCGCAUACCCAACGUACUGGCUUUAGGUUCCUUAUCUAUUUUAACUUAGGCUUUUACUUACACCAAAGUAUAUGAGUCACACAUAGAUAGUCCAUAAUUCACUUAGGAUUUAAGUAUGCCACACUAUGAGCAUCACAAAUGAAUAAAUCCAUAAACUAAUUCAGGAUCUAUUCUACUAGCGUCCAUUCUGGUAUAUUGUUAGUUCAAUUAGUCACAUCUAUGUCACUAUCGACUAUAAUUCAUCUGUCGAUGCCCAAGACAAAGUAUCCCCCCAAUUGGACUUGAUAGAUGACAUAUUAGCCUUUCAAUCAUUUUUCUCAUUUUCGAUUAGACUAAGGACAUGUUUAAUUUUGUUUACUAAUAUAAGUUGUUUUUCUGUAUUACGACUUGACCACGUAAUACCGUUUAGUAUUAGUUAAACACUAGACAACCAGUGAGCUAAUAUUUGCUUUUAUGUUGCUUUACAUGUAAAAAUCAAAUGAGGACAUCAUACAAAGGAUACUAAUGUAAUUCAUGAAUAAUUUUAUUAACCAAUUUGUUCAAAAAAUUAUAAGUGUACAAAAUGAAUAUACUACAAAUAGGGCACUAGAUCUAACAACAUUUCUAAAGUUUGCAAUAGCUGUGUGAAGGGUAAAAAAACAUCACAAAAAACAUAAAAAAUUUACCCACAUUCAUAACAAAGCCUCACUUGUAAUUUUGCACAUUGAUCUAUUUGGUUUUGUUUAAAUAGGAAGCCUUGGAAGAAAAAGAUAUGCCAUUGUGUGUGUUGAUGGCUACUUUAGUUUCACAUUUUGAUGAAUUUAAAUCAUUGUGUAAGGGGCUUAUGAAUGAAAAGAAGGAAAAACCAUUGGGUUAAUAAGGAUAAUACGUAGUGAUCAUGGACGAAAGUUUGAAAAUGAAGAGUUUAGGCAGUUUUAUUAUGAAGAAGUGAGUUUUCAGCUCCCAAAACUUCUCAGCAAAAUGUAGUAGAACACAAUAAAAAAACUGUACAGGAAAUAACAAGAGCGAUGCUCAACAGUAAAAACAUUUCACAUCGAGGUUGAGGCUGUUAACACAACUAAAUAUGUAAUCAACAGGGUUAUGAUCCAGCCUAGACUCAAACAACGCUAUAUGAAUUGUGGAAAGGAAAUAAGCCUACAAUGUAGAACUUUCAUGUCAUUAGAAACACGUAUUACAUCUUGAGAGAUAGCGAACACCAAGAUAAGUUUGAUUCUAAAUCUUAUGAAAGCAUCUUUAUUGAGUAUGUAGUGAGCAAUAAAGCCUAUAGGGUGUUCAACAAGUGAACUAAAAAUGUUAUGGAGUUAAUAAUAUGAUGGUAGAUGAUGCUGAAGUUUUUGAUAUCCAUGGUGAUUAUGAUGAGAACACAACUUCCAAUCUAGUGCUUGAGACAAUACCCAUUCCCCUUGGCACUACCAAGACUGGUGAAAACAUAGAAGUGGAAAAUCAAGAAAGUGGUGCUAGUGAUGAAACCAAUGAGCAAUCUAAUGAUGAUAAACCCAUAAGACUUUGAUAGGGUAAGGAAUGUUUUCAUGGAUAAGCAAUACCGAUUUUGUGUUAAUUCCCACCUAUAUGACUUCCUAGGAUCGUCAAGCCUAGGGUUUAAAUUCUUCCUUCCCCAUCCACUGAUCUACUAAGUGAUGCUUCGUAGGCAAUACCGAUUUCGGGUUCAUACCUACCAAGAUGACUUCCUAGGGUCGUCAAUCCUAGGGUUUAAUUGCACUCAACUAGAUUCAACCAAUCCUAAUUGAACUUUACAUGUUAAUUAAUUAAUUAGAUUAAAUAGUUGAAACAUGUUAAAUAUGUAUAAAACAUGAAUUGAUUCUAAUCUUUACACAAACAUUCAAUUAACAAUGUUAAAGAAAGAGAUGUAAAGAAUAGAAUAAAGAAAAGAGAUGUUCAUCAAUUUAUCGAUGAAAGCUUGAAUUUGGAACAAUCUCCACUCACGAGAGUUUUACUUCGAAAUAGGAUCUUUUGAUUACAAGAACAUAAAAUAAACUAAGUAAAAACUAAGAACGAAAUAAAAACCAAAGAAUGAUUUCUAUUUCCUUAAAAAUUACCUGUUUAAUUUGGUUACAAUGGCCUUUAUAUAGGUUAAACUUGGAAUAUUAAAGUGCUUAAACUGUCCUUGAAGUUUUUAGUGUUCGAUUAGGACAAAUACUCCUAAUUUCCCCUAAAAAAUGUAGUUGUUACGUGUAAGGUCUCUUUGGGUCACGUAGAAGUGGUGUUGCAACACAGGCUUGCUGUGUUGCAACAUUGGGUCCGAUGUCAUAAUAUUGAAGAGUGGUGUCAUGAAACUGAAGGCCAUUUCACUCCAGGACUUGUUUUUUCUUCUAUCUUUGAUGUUGUGACAUCAAUGUCUUGGUGUUGCGACAUAGACAUCAGUUUUAGCCCGAAUAUGUAUCUUUAGCUCCCAGUUUGUCCUAUAAGACCAUGUAACCUAUUUAGAUAUAUAAAAUGUAAUAAAAAGUACUAAAAAGAAUAAACUACUACUUUAAGCAUGAAAACAUAAAUAUAUACUAAGAUGCUUUGAUUUAACUAUUAAACAAGCUAAAGUUAUGUGUAAAAAGGGUGUAAAUAAUAGUAUAAGUCUUGACAGAUCAUAAGGCAGUUAUUGCUAAUCAGACUAGCAAGUCACGUCAUGAAUGAGACAAAAGUCCAUGUGAUUUUGACCUAUGGCAUCUUAUGAUAUGGAAACACUCAUGGCGUAGCCUUCAGUAAAUUAACGACUGAAUUGACCGAUCGUGAUACACGAUAUGUGUAAGUCCAUGAGGCUAGGUCUAAUGGCAUAAAGAAUAUGAAAUGAAAUGAUACAAAUAAUUCAUGGCGUAGCCUUCGAUAUAUAUAAGAAAUGAAGUGGUAGAUCAUGAUACAUGAAUGUAUAUGUAAGACCAUGAGGUUAUGACCCAUGGCAGUUAUGAAAGGAUUACAUGAAAAGACCACAAGUACAUGGCUUUAUAUGAAUUCACUAAGGUGUGCUUCAUAUGAAGUCGUGAUGGCAUCUUCUAUGAAGUCCGCCAAGAGAGUAGAAUUGAGAUUAUGUAUGAAGCUUGUAUGGCAUGCUUUGGUUAGCUUGUAUAGUGUAAUCUUUCAUGAAUGUCUGGUGAGAUUUACAUGACUGAAUUUCUAGUAAGAUAUGAAUAAGUCAGUUAGUUUUGUAAUAAGUAUAGUUGAGGUAAAGUAUUACUGUGCUUAAGAACAUUAGUUGAGUAAGAUUUGUGAAUUUAAUCGAAUAAGUUAUUGAAGAACCAUGUAUCUACAUGAUGGUAAAAGUAUUCACCAUGAUGAUCCGGAAAAGGUCAGAUAUAUAUUUGUAACUAUGUAAGAUUUAAGGAUCUAUAAUUGAAGGGCGUCUAUAUUAUGAUGAAUGUUGAAUAAGAGUUACUUGGAAUCUGUCAAAUCAUGAUUGUCUAGGAUUUAAUGACCUCUCCUAAAAUCACAAGAAAAUUUGGAAUAUGAAUGUUUUGAAUAUAUGUUUUCUUAAAGAUAUGGAUAUGGAGUUCAUCUGAAUGGUCUAAUAGUCUUUUGCCAAUAUCAAUAUGUUUCGUAUAUAAUCAAAGUUUUUCUAAGAGUAAAUUGGAAGGCAUUUAGUUCAACGAAAGCAUUCGCCAAAUACAUAUGUAUUUGCCCAAGAUAAUUUUUAGAGAAUUGUUUGAAAUAAGGGUAUGGCUUAAGGCAUGGGUGGUUGGAAGUGGUUUAUGAGGAAAUAUUUUGUUAAGAAAUUAUUAUUACUAUUAUUAUUGUAACUAAAAUUUAUGAAAGGUUUGAAAAGAUUUCUUAGUUAGCUAGGCAAGGAAGAUUUGGUAGGGUAAGAUCAUGAUAACUGGUGUAUCAGAGAAUGAUGUGACUGUGGUGGUAUCCAACAGAAUAAAUGAUGCUAAAUAAUGGUUGGCACACAAUAGUUCAUACAGGGUUUCUAGGUAUCCAUCAAUGUAUUGUUAGGAUCUAUAUUCUGGAGAUCAUGAAAAGCAUAUAAAAUAUUGAAGAAGUAAGUAUGUAUGUUAUAUAAGAAAUUAAAUGAGUACAAAUUGCAUGAUGAAUUGCAUAUAGGUUUUUUUUAUGUUGAAGUGCAUAUACAUAUAUGUGUCUGGCAUUUGUAGAAUGAGUUAUAGGGUCAUCUGAUUGGUGAUAAAAAAUGUCUGGUAUGGAUCGUGUCCGUGUAUAAGGGUCUAGGUUGUAGGUUUGUAUCUAAUCACUAUGAUGGUAAAUGAUGAAGUCUCUCGGGACAAAAAAAAAA